rnacentral:lncRNA from 1 species
UUCUACCAUCUUUUCAAGAUCUUCCUCACUCAGCUCCUUUUCAUUGGGAAAAAAUGGAAGGUUAUGGGCUUUUCCAGCUUCGUUCUUAACUUUUUGGCCUGUAUUGAAUUAAUCCGCUUCAAAAUCUGUUCCCAAAGACGGAAAAACAGAAUUAUCAAUCUAUAUAACACAUUGAUAGGAUGAAGUAAUGCAAGAUAAAUUAUCAAUCUUAACUUUUAGCCCUGUAUUGAAUUCAUCCUCCAAAAAAUAUGUUCCCAAAGACGAAAAAACAGAAUUAUCAAUCUAUAUAACACAUUGGUAGGAUGAAGUAAUGCAAGAUAAACCAAAAUUAUCCCCUACCGUAACAACGAAACAUGAUGCCUAAACAUCACCACAUCCACUAAUUUUUAUUUUUUAUAUAAGUAAUAAAUUUUCUUACCAAAUGCGUAAAAAGAGAGCAAGAGUAUCAGCACAUCCAUUAAUAUAAUCAAUGGACUCUUACCAAAUGCGUAAAAUAUGCUUGUGUAUAAAAAUUCAGACUAGCCAGCUACAAUUUACAUCUUCCAUGGGUUUUCAUUUUUCCUCGACCAGUACUCGACCGGACGCCAUAAGCCAGUCGACCGAUCCAUCAACAGGUUGACCGGUUGAUCUAAUCCUCGACCGGUUGAGUUUUUUUGGCCUCGAAAAACCUAUUUUCUAAUUCCUUUCUUUUCUAAAACUUAUGGAAGGUCUUUAGGUGAGUUAAUAUGCGAAUUUUGAAUCAAUUUGCCUAAGGUCUAUUUGAUAAAACUCGGGUUUUAAAGAAAAUCAAGUUUUAAAUAAAAAACCGAGUUUUCUAAGGUGCAUGAAAAGGUAUGAACAUCCUAAGUGCACUCAUGCUAUCAUCUUACAUUCAUUUCCUAUGAUGUCAAGUAUUCCAAUCGUCUCGAUAUUGUAUCCAUUUGGUCCUUUGAUGAAUUUCGUAGUUAAUACUUGAGAUUCUUAAACAUUAAACCAAUUAGUUACUUAACCAUAGUUUGUUAUCAUCGAAACCCGAUUAGGAGAACCCUUGGGCUAACAAGCUCCCUCUAUUUGAUGAUGACAAACCUUGGUUAUCUAGGAUAGAAAGAAAUCUCCCCCUCAAACCAAUCAUGGAUCAAUCAAAUGAUAAGCAAUGUAAAACACGAAGAAUCAAUUGAUAAAAAUAUCAUAUCAUAUCAUAUAUAUAUGGAAAUCUCACAUGUACAAUAAGAUAGAUAUGACAUUGAUAACAAUGACAUGCAUGAGAGACUAAUAGAUCCUAUAGAUCGUACAUCCUAUAAAUAUCUCCCCCUUUGGCAACAUAAAAAAGAAACGAAGGGGGAUCCCAAACACACUCAUGGCUGAGGAGGUGGUGGUGGAAACACAGAACGUAUGUAAGCCAUCAUCUCCUCGUCAACGUUAUUAUCUUUGUAAAAAAGGGGAAAAAAAUAAUAAUUUGAUAUUAUUAUUGUAACAUGUACAAAAUUAAAUAAAAUGAAGUUAUUAAAUAAAUUAAUUUAAACUAUAAAUAUUAUAAAAAUAAUAAAUUGGAUUUAGAUUAGGUUUGGGUUGUUCGAAUUUUUAUUUGUAUUUCACCUUAAUUAAGUUUGGGGAAAAAAAAUUGUACCCUAAGAUUAUAAAUAAUUGUCGAACCUUAUCCAAAAAAAGGUUGGCUUAAGUCAUGACAACUUGCCUAAAUUGCACCUCCUAAUUCCGAUUAUCCAAAAAAGACUUGAUGGCCUAUUGAAGAAAAAGGAUCAAAUCUCAAUAACCCCUUAAAUGAGGAUUCAACAUAAGAUCAACAUUUUUUAAACAAGUAAAUUUUGGAACGACUUUGUGGGAUUGAAAGAAACUAACAAAAACCAACAAAGGUACAAAAACUGAUACAUAUGGUGGUAGCAUAAGGUUAUAUAAUUCAUUAGUUACUUCAAAUGCAAUUAUUAUGAUCUGUGCGAACGGUCAUUUAUUAUUUUAUUCAUGUUCGUUAUGUCCAUGUUGAAUUGUGUUAUUUAACUAAAAAUUGCAUCAAAUGCAUUGGAAGCCUAUGUCUAUACAUGAUAAGAUUUGGUUUUUUAAGGAUCACAAGGUUCGUUUGGUGUUUGAUGUCAGCUUGUCUGUGGGUAAGCCUAUGUCUUGAUCUAUGUUGUUGGGAAUAGUAACAAAGAGAAGUCAUAUGUCAUGAUCUAAUCGCCAUAUCACAUACCUAAAUGAAAACAAAAUGAAUUUUAUUAACCGGUCGACCGGUUAACUUCUGCCGGAUGCGUACUUUUCUCAACCGGUAGCCACUGGCCCUUUUGGUUGCUGGAUUCUCAAAUGGACAGUGGCUACCGGUUGAGAAAAGUAAGAAACCGGUAGAAGAUAACCGGUCGACCGAUUAACAUUUCCUUGUAUAAGUUGUAAUUUGUUUGGAUUCCCCUAUAGAUUUGUGUAUUGAUAGGCCAUUUGGUAUUUUGCUACCUGUAAUUGCUCUUUCUUUGAAGGGACAUCAUUGUGGUAAACGAACAUCCAUAUAAACCGACCUUUAGUUGCGUGCAAGCGGGUAUAUAUUUUAUGUGAAGGUGCGUUAAUAAUAGAGGUCGAAGUGAUUAUUAAUAAUUUAAACUAUAAAUANNNNNNNNNNNNNNNNNNNNNNNNNNNNNNNNNNNNNNNNNNNNNNNNNNNNNNNNNNNNNNNNNNNNNNNNNNNNNNNNNNNNNNNNNNNNNNNNNNNNUAAACUAUAAAUAUUAUAAAAAUAUUAAAUUGGAUUUUGAAUCCUCACAUUCUUCGUACCCUCCCAAUUCUCCAAAAAUACUAAAAAAUUCAAAAAUAUUAAAAAAUUAACAAGGGUGCGAGGAAUGUGAGGAAUCUUCACAUUCUUCGUACCCUCCCAAUUCUGCACUUAUUUGGACUUUUUAAAAAUAUCUGGGGCAUCAUAUGGCUUGUAUGUUGUUUAAGUUGGUCCGUUACACUUAGAAGGUGGUCAAAUGACAUCCGGAAAAAUCGAAAUCCAAAAAUACUAAAAAAUUCACAAGGGUACGAAGAAUGUGAGGAAUCCUCACAUUCUUCGUACCCUCCCAAUUCUCCACUUCUUUGGACUUUUUAAAAAUAUUUGGGGCAUCAUAUGGCUUGGAUGUUGUUUAAGUUGGUCCGUUACACUUAGAAGGUGGUCAAAUGACAUCCGGAAAAAUCGAAAUCAAAAAAUACUAAAAAAUUCACAAGGGUACGAAGAAUGUGAGGAAUCCUCACAUUCUUCGUACCCUCCCAAUUCUCCACUUCUUUGGACUUUUUAAAAAUAUUUGGGGCAUCAUAUGGCUUGGAUGUUGUUUAAGUUGGUCCGUUACACUUAGAAGGUGGUCAAAUGACAUCCGGAAAAAUCGAAAUCAAAAAAUACUAAAAAAUUCACUACAUUUUGAGGGUGUGAAAUGGAUCGUAAAAUUCAAAGUGAAAGUUUACCGAACAAAUAUGUGAGGGGUUUAAACUUUUUUGGAUUUAAUAUGGCUUGGAUAUUGUUUAAAUCAGUUCAUUAUACUUAGGAGGUGGUCAAAUGAUUUCCAGAAAAAUCCAAAUCUAAACAUACUCAAAAAAUUCUGUACAUUUUGAGGGUGUGAAAUGGAUCGUAAAAUUCAAAGUGGAAGUUUACCGAAAAAAUAUGUGAGGGGUUUGGAUUUCCAUAUUGUUAGUAAUUAUACCUUUUUUGUAUUUUCAAUAUUUCAACCAAUUUUUUUUGAAAAGCUAAGAAAUCUCAAUUAAUAAUUAGUACACAACUAAUUUAAUUUUAAUUUGAUAUAUAUUUUAUAAAAUUUAGUUCUAGUUUUCCUAUUUUUUUAAGUUCAUAAACCAAUUAUAUUGCUUUUCACACUUCAAAUAUUAGUCAAAUUUUUUUCAACAAAUUAUUUGAUGUUAAAAUAAAAUAAAUUUACUUUUCCUUAAUUUCUAAAUUAUAUCACCAAAUUCUUUAUAAUUUUUUUUAUUUUAAAUUUAAUUUUUAUGUGGGGUUUAAUCACUUUAUAGUACAAAAAUAAAUAAACUGUAAUUUAUUUUUUCAAAAUUUUCUUUAUUUAUUAUUUGAUGUUAAAAUAAAUUAAAUUUACUUUUCCUUAAUUUCUAAAUUAUAUCACCAAAUUCUUUAUAAUUUUUUUUAUUUUAAAUUUAAUUUUUAUGUGGGGUUUAAUCACUUUAUAGUACAAAAAUAAAUAAACUGUAAUUUAUUUUUUCAAAAUUUUCUUUAUUUAUUAUUUGAUGUUANNNNNNNNNNNNNNNNNNNNNNNNNNNNNNNNNNNNNNNNNNNNNNNNNNNNNNNNNNNNNNNNNNNNNNNNNNNNNNNNNNNNNNNNNNNNNNNNNNNNUUCAUAAACCAAUUAUAUUGCUUAUCACACUUCAAAUAUUAGUCAAAUUUUUCUCAACAAAUUAUUUGAUGUUAAAAUAAAUUAAAUUUACUUUUCCUUAAUUUCUAAAUUAUAUCACCAAAUUCUUUAUAAUUUUUUUUUAUUUUAAAUUUAAUUUUUAUGUGGGGUUUAAUCACUUUAUAGUACAAAAAUAAAUAAACUGUAAUUUAUUUUUUCAAAAUUUUCUUUAUUUAUUAUUUGAUGUUAAAAUAAAAUAAAUUUACUUUUCCUUAAUUUCUAAAUUAUAUCACCAAAUUCUUUAUAAUUUUUUUUAUUUUAAAUUUAAUUUUUAUGUGGGGUUUAAUCACUUUAUAGUACAAAAAUAAAUAAACUGUAAUUUAUUUUUUCAAAAUUUUCUUUAUUUAUUAUUUGAUGUUAAAAUAAAAUAAAUUUACUUUUCCUUAAUUUCUAAAUUAUAUCACCAAAUUCUUUAUAAUUUUUUUUAUUUUAAAUUUAAUUUUUAUGUGGGGUUUAAUCACUUUAUAGUACAAAAAUAAAUAAACUGUAAUUUAUUUUUUCAAAAUUUUCUUUAUUUAUUAUUUGAUGUUAAAAUAAAUUAAAUUUACUUUUCCUUAAUUUCUAAAUUAUAUCACCAAAUUCUUUAUAAUUUUUUUUAUUUUAAAUUUAAUUUUUAUGUGGGGUUUAAUCACUUUAUAGUACAAAAAUAAAUAAACUGUAAUUUAUUUUUUCAAAAUUUUCUUUAUUUAUUAUUUGAUGUUAAAAUAAAUUAAAUUUACUUUUCCUUAAUUUCUAAAUUAUAUCACCAAAUUCUUUAUAAUUUUUUUUAUUUUAAAUUUAAUUUUUAUGUGGGGUUUAAUCACUUUAUAGUACAAAAAUAAAUAAACUGUAAUUUAUUUUUUCAAAAUUUUCUUUAUUUAUUAUUUGAUGUUAAAAUAAAAUAAAUUUACUUUUCCUUAAUUUCUAAAUUAUAUCACCAAAUUCUUUAUAAUUUUUUUUAUUUUAAAUUUAAUUUUUAUGUGGGGUUUAAUCACUUUAUAGUACAAAAAUAAAUAAACUGUAAUUUAUUUUUUCAAAAUUUUCUUUAUUUAUUAUUUGAUGUUAAAAUAAAUUAAAUUUACUUUUCCUUAAUUUCUAAAUUAUAUCACCAAAUUCUUUAUAAUUUUUUUAUUUAUUUUAAAUUUAAUUUUUAUGUGGGGUUUAAUCACUAUGUAGUACAAAAAUAAAUAAACUGUAAUUUAUUUUUUCAAAAUUUUCUUUAUUUUUCUGUUUCAUAAAAAAAAAUUCCUAAACAAAAUAAUUACAUUAAACAAAUUUAUAAUUGGUUAAUGUAAUAAAUGUAACAAUGUGUGUUGCAUGAAAUUAUUUCCCAUGGCAACCGGUUGGGUGACUUGAAGAACAGGUUUUGUUUUUUUUUUCUUUUUUAAAUGCCAUGUGUCUCUACCCUAUUAGCCCAAAAAAAGUUGGUAUGGUACCGAAAAGUGCUUUUCGGUACCGUAGCAAGACCCUAAAAAAUAACAUAAAUAUAUUUCAUGGAGUGGACCAGUGUGUACUUAGUUGACCAGGACUGACGACAGCAAUGACGUGGAAUGAUCAAAGCAAUGACCUCUCGUGGAAGCAACCAGAGCAUUGGAUGCUCCAUAACCAAACUUUACUUCACUCGCAAACUUGUGGCACAAGCUCAUUAGUUUUAGUUCUAUUAUUUACUAGUAAAAUUAAAAUUUAAUAAGUUUUUAAAAAUAAAUAAAUGUGCUGAUUUUUUUUUAAUGCAGAUAUUAUAUAUAUAAAAGCUAAAUUGCUUUCUAUUUGAUAAUAUUUUUGGAUUUAAAUAUGAUAUUAAUUUUAAAAUUAAAUUAUUUUUGUACAAAUGAUAAAAAUACAGGAAUAUGUCAACCGACAGUUUUAAUUUUUUUUUUUAAAAAAGUGAUUACAUUAAAAUGAGAUUUGAUAAAUAAAUUCUAGACUGAUAAAAACCAUAUAGAAAAACUUAAAAUAUUGGAAUUCUGGAAUUCUGGAGAAAGAAAGAAAACUGAGAUAAUGAUAUAAUAUGGAAGGAAAGUGCAUGCUGAGAUAAGGAAUGAGCAUCACCACCUCCUAGAAAUUUCCAAGGUUUUAACCCACUCUCUGAGAUUUGCUAUAAAUACUUGACAAUUUCCCUUGGGUUGUUCAUCAAUACUUGAGUCUGAAUCUUAUUGAUCACAGUAGGAGCAAUGGCAGACGAGAUUAUCUUGUUGGAUUUCUGGCCUAGCAUGUUUGGUAUGAGGGUCAGACUUGCCCUGUCAGAGAAGGGCCUCAAGUAUGAAUAUAAAGAGGAGGACCUUAGGAACAAGAGCCCUCUGCUUCUUGAGAUGAAUCCAGUUCAUAAGAAAAUCCCGGUUCUGAUCCACAAUGGAAAGCCCAUUUGUGAGUCUCUGUUAAUAGUUCAGUAUAUUGAUGAGGUUUGGCACGAUAAAUCUCCGCUUUUGCCUAGUGACCCAUACCAGAGAGCCCAGGCCAGGUUCUGGGCGGACUACGUAGACAAGAAGGUAUGUCUUUGCUGUUGAUUUAAAGCCUUUUUUUUCCAUUGAUUCAUGGCGAUUGGCUCAGAUUUUGAUAAUGAUGAGGGAUUUGUCCAAAAUGCUGGGUUCUUCUUCACACAUUCUCUUCUGACAUUAAGUUUUGUGGGCCUUGGGGUCUCAAACUAGAACUUUACUGAUUCUCUUUGCUGCGUGUGCAACAAGACUCCACUUUGCAUUUCUGAUGUGGGUUUUCAGUUCUUUGUUAUAUAUGGGUUUUCAUUUCUUUGUUCUGCUGAAUCUGAAGUCCGUUCUUUCCACCCAAAAAAGCAGAUCUCAAGAAUGCCUUUUCCCUCAAGAAAGGGGAUCCAAAAACCAGUUUUUACAGCACAGUGUUUGGUUUUUUUUUGUUAUCCUGAUGUUCAACAUUUUGCAGAGCAGUUCUUUUAAUACAUGUUUUGUUGCUUUGAUCUCUUUCUUCUCAUUUUCUAAAACCCACAUUGAGGGGAAAAGCUUUAGCAAAUGAUACAUUCUUUCAACUGAUUCUGAUAUUUUUCUGCCACCGGCCCUUCAUUUAAUAUGUUCCUAGUAUAUGAGAUUUCUAUGCUGAAGGGUCCUUAAUAAACUUGUCCAACUAUACAGAAAGUUGAAACUUGAUGAAAUGCUCCAAAAAAAUAACCCUUUUCUCUCUUUGACUUUAUUGUUUUCCACAGCUCUAUGAACUUGGAAGGAAGAUAUGGUCAACCAAAGGAGAAGAGCAGGAAACAGCCAAGAAGGAAUUCAUAGAGUGCCUCAAGCUUCUGGAAGGAGAGCUUGGAGAGAAGCCUUACUUCGGCGGUGAAAAAAUUGGGUUUGUGGAUGUGGCUCUGGUGACCUUCUCUUGCUGGUUUCAUGCAUAUGAGAGCUUUGGAAACUUCAGCAUAGAGGCGGAGUGUCCCAAGUUGAUAGCUUGGACCAAGAGGUGCAUGGAAAAGGAGAGCGUGUCGUCUUCUCUGGAAGACCCACACAAGGUCCAUGGCUUUGUUAUGGGGAUGAGAAAGAAGCUUGGCAUAGAAUAACUAUUUUGUAGUGUUGCUGUGGUAAUAUUAGAUAUAUGUGAGUGUUUGGCUGUUUGCUUAAGUUUUUGCUUUGAAAUUGUAUGGUUACUAUUUGCAGUUGAAACCCCUUUUGGAGGGUUGGUGGGUUUGCUGGAAAGAAAUGUUUUGAAUUUGUUUUCAUUUGUUUUGGACUGGACUAGAGAGGUGUUCUUUGUAUUCCAUCAUUUCGUGUCAUAAACAAGUAUUAACACAAGUUGGAUAAGGCAUGCCUCUGGCCCUUUAUGGUAACGUACAAAGAUAUCAUGGGCCUACAAAGAUAUCAUGGGCUACAGAAUAGGUUAGGGCCCGCUUUUUAAAUCACUUUUUUUAACUAAUAUGUUUGGCAAAAGAUGUUCUUCAAUAAUUUAAUUCAUCUUCCUUGUCGGUCAUUUUAAGUAACAAGAAAAUGAAAAAGAAAUAAGAGAAAAGUUCAAUCACGUUCCAUAAUGUUUGUUUUUGAAAAUUGCUUUUAUGUUAAACAAACAAAAAUAAUUUUUUAAAAUUUUAUAAAAUUUUAUAAAAUAAGGAUGUUUGACAAGUUAUUUUGAAAUUGGUUUUUCUUUUAAAAAAAAAUAAUUUUUCUAUGUUGAUUUUGUAAAAAUAUUCUAAAUUUAAUUAAUAGAAAUUUAAUUGAGGUCUUAUAAAAAAUGAAAUUAGUUUUAAAUUAUAAAUAAAUUAAAAAUAGUAUAAUAUAUCAGCGUGGACCUAUUUUUUUUACGUGCGUCCUCACUCGACGAUGAGACUCGUUUUUUAUUUAUUUGGUGAAAAAUAUGAUUUUUAGAAAAAGAUUUGAAGUCCUCAUUGAUUUUUGUUUUAUUUUUCAAGGGAAAGACAAAAUAAAAAAUAAAAACCCUAAAUAUGAUUUCUGAAGGAAAAAUAGGUUUGUGAAAAAUCGAGUUUGGGUUUGGGGAUCAAGUUACUUAUUAGGAAGGUAUGGUAAUGAGUUAUAACACCCCUCUAAGCUCGUUUAUGUACGACCUCUACUAAAUGAAUUAAGGAAAUUGUGACAAUUAAUUAAUUAAUUAUAGAUACCAAGAAAAAUAAUCAUGUAAAUGAGUAUGUACAAGUCAAGGUGAAAAUUAAUAUACACAAAAAUAAUGAUGAAAUCUAAUUACAAGAAUACACAAAAUAAAUAACAAAAGAAUUAUGCAAAAAUAAUUUAUUGAACUAAAUAAAAAAUAUUAAAAAAAUAGUUUUCAAGAAAUUUCGAAGGAUUUUAUUAAAAAUGAUUUUUAAUUAAUGAUUUUAAUUUUUUUUAUUUACAAAAAAGAAGUUUCAAUUUAUUUUCAAUUAAUGAUUUGAUUCAAUUUCAUUUGUAUUUAAUUUUUUUUAAAAAAAAAGUUAUUUGCACUUAUUAUAUCAAAAGAAUUUAUUACAAAAUUUCAAUUUGGUAAUAAAAAUGAUUUUUACUUGCUUUUACAAAAAAAAUUACAAUUUUAUUUACGAAAGUAUUUCACUUUGUUUUAAUUUGAGAAAAGUGACUUAUACAAAUUAUUAAAAAGAAUAUAACUUUAUUUGCAAAAGAAUUUUUAAUUAAAAAUUAAUUUUUGGGACAACUUUAUUUACAAAAUAAUGUUUGGACAAUUUUUAUUAAACAAAUAAAUUUUUGGACAAUUAUUAUUAAAAAUAAUUUUUCAAAUUCUAUUAAAAACAAUUUUUUUGGAUUUUUCUAAAAGCAUUUUUUUGAAUUUUUAUUAAUAAAAAAAACUUUCUUUUAUUAAAAAGAAUAUUUUAAAAUUAUUAUUUUAUUAGAAUAUAUUUACUAAAUUAUUCCUCUUAUUUAAAUGACAAUUUUGAUUUGUUAAAUAUUUAAUUCUGUAUAUACUCAAUAAAUAUAUACAAACUAAUAUUUACAAGAACUAAUAGAAAUAAAAUCAAACAGAAGUGAGCAAUAAAACGUGUACCCAAAUAAGGUUACAACAAGCUUAAUGUCUCUCUACAACUUUUUUAUUCUUACUUUCUUCCAUGAAAUUUUGUGCUUCACGUGUUAUAAAUUUGUACUCAGCCAAUAGAAUUGCAGAAUAGGCCCAUGCAAAAACAAAAAUAGUUCAAAUGUAAAUAUCCAAAGGUGUACAAAAUCCUUAACAAAUAUUCAAACUCAAAUUCAAAUUUCAAAUUAGUUCGAUAAAUCUUGUCAAUCAAAAUGGACACAAAUUAACAAAUAUAACCUAACAAAAACAUCUCACAUGCUAUAAACCUUAAUCCAAAAAUUUCAAAUUAAUAACCAAAAUACAACACAAUUAGCCAAGCCCAAAAUAUCACAAAAUAAAAUAAAUUCAAUUAGGCCUAAAUUUAAUAUUUCAUAAUCCAAGCCUAAUUUAAUAUACACCAUAAUUGUCCCACAUCCAAAUUAAAUAGUUCAAAUUGGUGAAGCUCAUAUCAAAUAUUCAAGUCAUCAAUCAAAUUUCACCCACAUUGUGGACCCAAAAUCCAUACCUAUAUUAUGGGUCCAAAAUUCAUAUCAAUUAACAAGCCCACAUUAAUAAUACACAUGACCAAAGAAAAUAAUUUCCCAAGCCCAAUCCAAUAAGCCCAAAUAAAUAACAUUAGAUUCAAGUCAAAAUCAAUUACUAUGCAAACAAAAAUAAAAAAAUAAAGAUAAAAAAAUGAAAAUAAAAUAAAGUAAAAAGGAAAUUUACCCUUUUUUUUUAUAACUAUGGGUGGUAGGAUUGCUAGUCGGCAGUGACUGGCAGGUAAUGGCGGGUGGUGGCGGGCAGUGGUUGUCGGUAGUGGUGGGUGGUGGUUGGCCGGUAGUGGCCGUGGAGUGUGGGGAAGGGAAAAGGAAAGAAAAAGGAAGAGAAAAAAAAAUGAAGGAAGAUGGGGAGCGUGUGACAGUGGGGGUUUGUGGAAAAUGGCAGUGUAGAGAGAAGGACUAUGAGAAGAAGAAAAAAAAAAUGGAAGAGAAAAUGGGGACCAUCGUGUGUGAUAGUUGGGGGGAAGAAAAAAAAAAGAAAAAAGGAAGGGAGGAGAUGGGAGAGUUGACCGUGUUUGGUGUGUGGGUCGUGGAGCGGUUGUUGUGUUGGAAGGGAGCCUGAAGAAGAAAUGAUGGAGGAAAAAAAAGUGAAGAGAGGAACGUAGAGAAAGAUGAUAAAAAAAAAAAAAAAAAAAAAAAAACUUGGAGGGGGUAUGGGGAGUGGCUUAGACAUGUAGGAGAAGGAAAUGGGUAAGGGAAGUAGGUGGAGUGGGUAGAAUGAGGGGAAAGAGGAAGAGAGAAGAGAGAAGAGAGUGAAAAUAAAUAAAAUUAAAUUAAAAAUAAAAAUAUAAUAAUAAUAAUAAUAAUAAUAAUAAAUAAAUAAAUAAAUAAAUAAAAAUAAUAAUAAAAAUAAUAAUAAAAAUAAUUUAUAAAAUAAUAAAAACUAAGAAUUAAAGGGUGUAAGUGGGCUAAACAAUUAAGAUGUAAUCAAAAUUUAAAUCUAAGGAUAAAAUUGAGCUCAAUAUCAAUGUAAAAAUAAAAUUAGGACAAAUUUUGGGGUCUACAAUCGGUUUUCAUAUAUUAUUUCUUAUGGUGAUUAGAUCUAUUUACUAGGUUGUAACUUAAAAAAAAAAAAAAAAAACCUAUUAGUAAAUUCAAUGUUACUUGAUUUGAAGUUUAUUCUUUAAUAAAAAAAUUUAUAAAAAUAUAAGUAUGUAUAGAAAAAAAGUAGACUCAUUAAAACCCAAUUUUUAUCCAUAAAUUUUUAAUAUUAACCACUAUUUAAGUUUUAAGUUAUUUAAAAAAAUUACUAAACUCAUUAAUUAAUUUAAUGUAUUAAGUUUUGUUUAAUUUGGAUUUUAUUUGUCUAGUGAAAUAAAUAAAUAAAAAAUAUAGUUUCAUGUAGAAGAGAAACAAUAGAGUCAUUGUAGAUUAGAACUAGAAGUUAUAAAAAAUAUGUAAAAUAUAUAUAAUUAUAUAGCUGGAGUUUAUAUUAUAAAUUAUAAAGUUAAAAAAAAUAUAAAAAACUACCUUCAAUGUAAUUUCUAAUUUCUUUUAAUUAUAAUGUAUAAUCAAAAGUUAGACAAAACAAAAUUGUACACUCAUAAGUUAAAUAAUGAAUAUUUCAUAGCCUCAAAGGUGUAUACAAUUUUACACAUUUUUGUUAUGAUAAAAAUAAUCCAUAGCCAAAAACUAUGAAAGCGAUCAAUUCGUAAUUUUUAUUUUGUUAAUAUUACAUGAUGUUCAUGCAUUUUUUUAAACCAUAUUUAUAAUAAUCCUAUAGCGAUAAAAUAUAACAAAAUCUUAAAUCGUUAUAGUUUUAUUAUAGAAUAUUAACUGGAUAAAUAUUGUUAGAUAAUUUAAUUAAUUUAUUUUAAUAAAUUAAAAUAUUAUUCUAAUAAAAUUAUUUCAAAUAUUAUUCUAAUUUAAAAAUUACUAGACUGUUAAGUCUUGUUUAAUUUUGAGUUCAUUUAUAUAGUAAAAUAAAAUUGGAAAAUAUGAUUUCAUGUAGAAGAAAAAUAAUAGAGUUGUUAUAGACUAAUUUUCAUCCAUAAAUUUUUAAUAUUAAUUACAUCAUUAUUUGAGUUUUAAGUUAUUUCUAGAAAUUACUAAAUUUAUUAAUGAAUUCAACACAUUAAGUUUGGUAUAAUUUUAAGUUUAUUUGUCCAAUGAAACAAAAUUGGAAACAAUAAAGUCAUUCAAGUUCAAUUUUUGUCCAUAAAUUUAUGGUAUUAAUUGGAUCACUAUUUGCAUUGCAAUUUAUUUUUAAGAAUUACUUAGACUUGUUAAUAAAUUCAACGCAUUAAGUCAUACUUGAUUUGGUGAUUAUUUACUAAGUGAAAAAAAUUGUAAAAAUAUGAUUAUAUGCAAAGAAAAAACUAGCCAAGACAUUUAAAUGAAUUUUGGUGUAUGAUAUUCUAAUGUUAGUGAGUUUCAUGACUUUAUAGUACUAACUAAAUCAAUUUUUGACUUUUAAGUUAUUUUUAAAAAUUAGUAAAUUUUAUGUAUAAAGUAUAAUUUGAUUUAGAAUUUAUUUUAUCAAUGAAAAUUUUCUUAAAUUAAAUGAAAUUCAUUAAAACACAUGUAAUUUAAAAGAAUAUUAUAUUUGAAGAUUUUUAGUAUCGGUAUUAGAUCGUAGAAAGAGGUAAAGAAGAAUGAUAUCAUCUUCAAUCUUAUUUGCUUUUUAUAGUUUUUUUAAAUUCCUCUAUAUUUUUCUUUUGCUUUUAAAAAUUGAUGAAAACAAUUUCUACUUGUUUUCUAAAAUAUGUUUUUUAUUUCACUUUAUUUUUAAAAAUUACAAAUAGAAAACAACUAACAAACAAUUUUAUGAAUUUUUAAAAAUAGUUUUUUUUUUAAUUUUUAAAAACAAAAGUUAUUUUUUAAUGAAAUGGCCAAAUGGGCUAAAAACUUUUCAACAGCAAAUUUUGAGAAUUUGGGUCAAGUGCUAUGUGCUCUUGUACAAUCCUCCACUAUUUUUGGCCUUCAUGUCACCGUUGUCAACUUUUACUGUGAAUAAGUUCACGAGCUUAUCUUACUUUAUAUUCGAGAGCAAGGAACAAGAUCUUGAGAGAUGCUUGGUUUGUUUUUUUUUUUGUAUUAAAGAAAUAAAAGAGUAUUCACUUACUAUUCCAUUUUGUACUAAAAAAAUUUGAUAAGACAUUGAUAGGCAUGUAAAUAUUAUAACAUUUAAAUAAACUAAAAAUAUUUUUGUUAUAUUAUUUUAAUUUUAAUUUUUGAACUUUCAUAUUAACGUUCGUUUUAAUUUUUCAUAUGAUUUAAAAUUGAUCAUGGUUCUAACCUUUUACUAGGCUAAAAUCUUUAACUUUUUUAGAUACAUAAAAUAGAAAAUAAAAUAUAUUUUCAUAUAAAUUGUAUUAACAUUUCUUUAAUUAAUUUUUAUAUUUCUUAAAAUACAUAUAUCUUAAAAUACAUAUAUCUUUUUUAAAAAAUAAGUACAUCAUUUAGAAAAAUAGGUACAUCUAAUAUAAAAACAUGUACAUUUCAUUUCAUCGGGGAUUCUUAUCCUCAUUCAACCUAAUUCGGGUGUGGGAUUUCACUUAUGUAGGUCUCAGAAUGCAUUUGAGGUCUUCUUAUACCCUAUUCAACAUGAUAUAACUUUGUGUACAUGUUUUAAAAAAAUGUAUAAAAGUUUAGAAAAGUAUUUACAUCUAAUUUGAGUUGAAUCAUUCCCUUAUUCGACCUAUUUUGAAUCUAAAUUUUAACUUCUAUAUACCUCAUGAUGCAUUCCCAAACCCUAUUUGGCAUGGUAGAACCCUAGGUACAUAUGUUACAAAAAUAAGUAUACUCUUAAGAAAAAGUACAUCUUUUACAAUAAUAACUAUAUUCUUAAAUAUAUAUAUAUAUAUAUAUAUAUAUAUAUACAUUCGUAAGAAAAAUGCAUAUAUUUGAUUUGAGGUUAACCAUGAUCCAAUUCAACCUAAUUUGGAUAUAAGAUUUGACUUAUAUAUGCCUCAAAAUGUAUUUUAUGCCUUCCAAAACUUCAUGUAGCAUGGUAGAAGUAUAGGUUCUGAAAAGGUGAAUCUCAAUAGUGGAAUACACCUAAAGGGGGGUUGAAUAGGUGUUUUGACCAAUUGAACAAAAUCUCAACUCAAAUUAGUAAACCUUAAAACUUCUUGAAUAUUUUUCUUCUCUUCACAAAGUCUAAAAAACAAAUUAUAAAUCACAUGAAUAUAUGAAUGCAACAACACUCCCCAACAAUAUUCAAAUGAAAUUCACAUGCACAUGAUCUAAUACUCCUAAACCCAAAUCAACUUAAAACUAAAUUAUGAUAAAAACAAGAUCAAUAUACAUCAAAAUAUCAAUGAUUAACAAUCAGAAAUGACUUCAAAGAUAAUUCAUAGCCAUUUCUCUUUAUCAUUCAAUCAAAUACUAGACAAUCAAAAUUAUAAUAAAUUGUAGAAACUAAAAAAUGAUGCGAAGAAGAGAAAACGAGACAAUGAGACACCAUAAAUUUACAUGGAAAAUUUUUGAAGAGAUAAAAAACCAUAAGCCUACUACCAAUCAAAAACAUCCACUAUGAAGAAUAAAAACUAAAUACAAGGUUUUACCUAGCUCAAGCCAACUAAUCCUUCCCGGACCACUUGACUAGUACCUUCACUUUUAGUUUCUCACAUUCUUAUUUUAGAGCACAUUUGGAGUCUACACCAAGCUCGAUCUCGACCUCUUAUUGAUUUCACAUAAGAAAAAAAUGGGUUUUUGUGCAAAACCAAGAGAAUUAGAUAUGAAUGUUUCAAAAAUCAACCCAUGCUCAUUUUCAAAAAAUCCAUUUUAAAAAAAUUUCUUAGAAAACUUGGAUGGAUUUUCUUCGUAGGUAAACACCCUUAAAAUGGUGAGGAAAGAAAAAACUCUCUCACAACUAUUGUAGUCACCACUUAUAGAGAUGGAAGAGAUUUGAUUUUAAAUGAGAAAGAAACCCUUAAUCGAAGGGUUGAAAGUUGAUCUUAAAAAUAGGUUGGUUGGAUCAAUCUGCCUCUACACUUAGAUCAAUCCAAAAACAGGGGAACAAAAGCCUUGUGCUAAUAAUAUUUCUCCUUGUUUUCUUAACUCAUUUAAAGAUGAAAAAACAGGGUUGAUUCAUAUUCAAUCACCACACUCGACUAUAUACCUCAGCCUCUUAGCAAAGUUUUAAUCUUCAAAGGUCAAGUAGUCCGAAGAGGGAUUUGUAAACUGAGUUAGGGGACACUUAGGAAUUUUGUUUGAAAUUACCAACCUAGCUAAACACUCACAAUCUCCUCCUUUGGCAAUUCUGGGACAAAACUCUUUACAAUACGAAUGAGUACAAGUAAGUAAGUCCCACCCAACUCUCAUACAAGGCCACACACUCACUCAAAACCUCACCAAAGGUGCUACAAAUCCUAUAAAUAAAUCUCAAGAAAAAACUUUAGGAGCACUUGCACAUAUUACCAAGACACUUCCAUAAGUUUCGAAUGAAUUGAUACACAAAUAUCCACAUAUAUCCACAAAAUCACAUGUCUAAAGAUAGUUAAUAUGCAUUCAUGAGUUCAAAAACGUGUCAAAUAUCCAUCGAUAUACAAAAAGGGUGAUCAUGAUCAACAUAUCAAAUAUCCAAAGCAACAAAACACAAAGAAACCGUCAUGAUCAACUACAUGUCAUAUCAACAUCCAUGUAAAAUGUAAAAUGUUUCCUAAUUUUUGUCCCAGUAGGAGACAAAAGGUCAUAAUCUCCCAUUUUCUAUCUUAGAAAAAAGACAAAUGAAUGAGAAUUCAAUAGCAUAAUAUCUCACAUCCAAAUCAACAAACAUCCACUUUUCAACAAAAUGUCAAAUACCCAAAAAUCAAAUAUUCACAUAUUACCAAGUAUCCAUAUCAACAUUUCAGAAAAAAAAAAUUAUAGGAUACAAUAAUCUCCUCUUGACUCCCAUCACAAGAUAUAAGAAUCUCUCCCUGAAUCCUAUCACAUGGUUUCAAUUAAAAACUUUCAAAAAAUAUGCUUUAUCACCAUGAAAAUAGAUUUCAAGCAUGAAAAUUUAUGGAAACCACUCAAAAUGAACAACCAAAGCCUAGGAUUAGCAUUCCUAGAAACUAGGAACACUCCAAGGCAAAAAUGAAAUCUCAAACUAUUAAAACUAUUGUGAGAAGACUCCACACACAAAAAAUAAAUAAAUAAAAUCCAAAUGAGACUAAGGGCUGAUUGGAAUUUCCAGAAGUGUAGAUUGUGUUGUGUUGAUUGUGCUGUGAAAAACAUAGUCCUAAGGGUUGAUUGGAAUUUCCAACUGCUGGAACGGAAUCCCAACUACACAAGAUACAAUCUAGUGACGCACAUUGGAGGUCCUAGCCAACACAUACUAUGUAGAAGGCAAUUUCUGACAACACCGACGCACUAAGAAGAGACACACAGACCGACGACAUGAGUUGGACAACACAACAAUUCUAGGCUAUUCGACGAGGCUGUUUGGUGGGAUUGGCUAGACUUGAAACGCUCACCAGAUAGGGAAGUCUGACUAUAAAGGUUUCCAAUGGUAGAGACUUAUGACGGUAGUGGUCGGAAUGAUGAACCGACGAUGAUGGCUAAAGAGAAGCAUAGAGUAGAGAAGUUUCCUUCUUUAGAACAAAAGACCUAGGGCUUUUGAAAGAAAUGAAUUGGGAAAAACUGAUUUAGGGAUUUUGACUUUUUUACUUUUAGUUACGAAAAUACCUCUCAUCCAUUAAACCAUAUGAGCAUAACUAGUUGGGGGCAAAAAUGGAAAUUUUCACAAAUGCAUAAGUGGUAUCGAUUUUAGUGGAUUGAUCUAGCUUUCGAUUGUGCUCUCGAUGAUACACAGUCACAUAGGUUUGAACAUACCAAAUUUGAAAAAAAUGGUUAAGUGUGUGAGAGACAAGUACUAGGUGGUAUCGACCUUGGUGGAUCGAUCUAAGAUUCAUUCAAGGGCUCUCGAUCACUACAUUGUGCACACAAUGGAUCGAUCCACAAAUUCAAUAGAUCGAUCGACACCUAAUUGAAAAAUGACUUAGGCAAAAACUAUUGAAAAAUCACAAGAAAUACACCAAUAGGCUUUCCAAAAACUGAAAAUUGAUUGACCAAAGAUGAGAUACAAUAGGAUGGCAUACUUAUAUUUCAAUUAAUGAGUUAGAGUUGAUUCACAUUGAACAAAAAUGCUUCCAAGAACUUAACAAUGGACAAAAUUAAUAAACAUAGAGAUUGAAGUACUUUCCAAAUUUAUCAAAUGAAUAGGUAAAAAACAAAUGAUUAUCAACACUCUAACAAGGAAGCUUAAGCUAAAAAAAAAAACUCACUCAUGACACCAUAAAACGGUGAAAAUGUUAAAUAAUUUCCACUUAUAAACCUAUAUUCAUUUAUGAGCCAAAAAUCAUUUUCAAGAUACUCUUCCUUUCUAGAGAAAUUCAAGAUAAUGUUCCAAGAAGUCAAUUUGCAUCUCUCUUGGCUAGAUUUCUGUUUAACAUGACCUAAUCACAUCCCUUUAAUAAAAUUCAUACACUAUUUGCUUUUCAUAUUUAGCAUUGAAAGGAAUACAAAGCUAUAAGUUUUACCUUAAAGAUCAGUUUUUGACUUGAGGAUCUCUAAGGACGCCUUUACAACAUAACAACAUAAGAGAUGUCCCACUUUUGCAAGGGAGGCUUUUUAAUUCUUGAAACACUGCCAAAGAGCCAUAUCCAUUCCGGGAAACUUCAUAUUUUCUUUUUCUUUUCUUUUUCAUUUUUUUUAAAAAUUUAAUUUCAAAGAGAGGACAAACAAUCAAAGAUUGAUAUUCUCAACCUCUCAAGGAUAUUCCAGGUGUCUUUACUCACUCUUUAAUGCUCAUUAAAUGGGUAUAAGUUUACAUUUAGACUUUAAAGAGCAUUAUUCACCAUUUAUGCAAACACAAGGUCUAACAAUGAGCUUUUUCUCACUUAAUAGAAAUGAAGCUAAUCAUUUGUAGUUUAUCUAACCAAAUCAAAAUAGCAAGGAUUCAAUAUCAUGUUUAUCAAACAAGCCAUGGAGAUAAAGACAUCUUGAAGCUUUUAAGAUCAUGAUGAGUUAAUUUAACUUUUAAACAAAAUGAAUAAGCAUGUCACUCUCAUGAACUCAACAAUUGUUGAAAAUUUAUGAAAAAUGGAGAAAAGAUUGAACCAAAACAAAAAGAACAUCAAGUUGAUGAUAUUUGGGAACUUAGGAAGACAACUAGGACUCAAGAAUAUGCAAGAGGAGUCCUAGACAAGUUUUAGAGGCAAUUAAAUAGAGAGUAUAUAAACCUAUGGGGCUCCUAAGUGAUUCAAACCUAGAAAUGUCCAAAGGUUUAGUAACAUUGUUAGCAAUUUGACUUUCUAUAGGGAAAAACUCUAGUGAAACAACCUUGUCUUCUACCAAGUCUUGAAUGCAGUGAUGCUUAAUGUCCACAUGUUUUUAUCUAGAAUGAAGAACACGGUUCUUUAACCUAUCAAUAACAUUGGCAUCAUCAAAUUCCUCCCCAUCAAUCUUAACUUUUACAAUGGGAUGCUCUUUUUCAUUUUGCAACAAUCUAUGUUGUAGCAAGUGAUUAACACAUACAAUUUUAGAACUUCCACACACAAGAGAAGAGGAUGAAGGAGAUUUUUUACUAACAACAUAGCACUUAUCACAAAUUCUCAAGCCCAUCAUCACACAUACAUCAUUCAAGUUAAACACCUUGCAAAAAUUUUGUGAAAAUUUUACAUUGAACUCAUUCCCACACAUUUGGCUUAUUCUAACUAAGUUAGCCUUUAAACCUUCAUAUAAGACCUCUUCAAGAUUAGGAAUUUCGGGGGCACAAAUGGUACCUUUGUCUUUCACCCUAGCCACAUUACCAUAUCUAAAUGUCACAUUUCCUCCAUCAAAUUCAGUGAAUGAAGUGAACAAAGAUUUAUUUCCAGUCAUAUGAUGUGAGCAUCUACUAUCAAGAUUCCAUGAGUGUGACUCACUAGCUCUAAGUACGUUAUGGACAACAAAACACUUCAACUCAUUCAUUUACACCCAAAUUUGUUUAAUAUUUGAGACUUGUCUUUUCAUUCAAAGUGCUUCCUUUCAACUCACCAUUAUGAGGGAUCUUUGACCACUUCUUGGACACUCUCUUAUUCUCAUUCAAUAACCUAUUCUUCAAAGUAUAACAUUCAUUCAUUAGGUUGGUAAAUUUCUUUUGAAAAUUAUCAGACAAUCUUGCAUAACAUCUAUAAAAAAUGUGUCCCAUUUUGCCACAAUGAUUGCAAUGAAACUUGAUUUGAGAAUGAGUUUUCUUAGGAGAUUAUUUUUCACAAGGCUUAACAAAAAUUGUUUUACCACUACUUGGAGUAGUAUUUGCAUCAACAAAUCCUAAGCCUUGUUUAUCAAAAAAUUUACACCCUAAAUUGAUCAACUCAUUAAGUCUCUUAGAGCUAGGAUGUGACUCUUCCUUCUUAAGACUUAACCCAUCCUUGAACAUUUGAUUCACUUUUCAAUACAUAAUAUUUUUUCUUCACUUCCAAAUGUUCAUUUUCAAGAAAUCCAAUUUUGUCAAGCAAAACCUUAUUUUCUCCCUUCAAGACAUCAAUCUCAUUGAUUAGAAUAUUCUUAGAAGCCUUCCACUUGACUUGUUCUUGUUUAAGGCUCAAGCACUCCUUAUACAAAGUCUCAUAUGCCGUGUCAAAACUCAUGUCAUCAUCAUUGGAGUCACUUGACUCAUGACUCACUUAUCACUUAAGACCUCUUUCUUGAGUGGUUUCUCAUUGACACUUGCAACAAAGGCUAUGAAGUUAGUGCAUUUUUCACUUCCAUUGGAUUCUUUUUCACUUGAUUGACAAGAUUCUAUGUUGCUUCAAGUGACUUGCAUGACCUUCUUUCCUUUUUUUCUUUGAGGGACAUUUGGCGGCAUAAUGUCCAUUUCCUCUACAUUUAAAGCACUCAAUCUCCAACUCUUUUUUCACACAUUUCUCCAUAUCCUUCUUUUUUUUCUAAUAGAGUUCCUCCAUUUUUACCAUCAUUUGAUUCUUUCUUGGAUUUUAUGAAUUUCAUGUACUUCUUAAUUUUUUUAGUAAACUUAGUAAGCACACCAUUUGAUAUUUUCUCAUCAUCCUCACUUUCGGAACUUAGGGACUCUUCUUUAAUAGUUUUUAAAGCAAUUCCCUUAGCUUUCCUAGGUGAUACAAGCGUCAUCUCAAAGGUUUGGAGGGAACCUACAAGUUCAUCUAUCUUCAAGGAAUCCACAUCCUUAGACUCUUCAAUGGUGGUAACCUUAGCUCUAAAUCUCUCUCGAAGAGAUCUUAAAAUUUUUCUAACCACCUUAGUGUUAGAGACGGAUUCACCUAGAUUGAAGUUAGAAUUCACUAUAUCCAUCAAUUUUGCAUGAAAUUCUCCAAAAGUUUCAUGGUCAUCCAUCCUAAUGGUCUCAAACCUAGAUGUCAACAUUUGAAGCCUGGACAUUUUUACGACAUUAGUUCCUUCAUGAGUCACUUGGAGGAUAUCCUAAGCCUUCUUUAACCAAAGUGCAUGUGGCAAUCCUAUGAAAUUCAUUCGUACUAAUGGCAUUGAAGAUGGAGUACAUGGCUCUAGCUUUAUUCUCACUUGCUUCAUUUUCACUUCUAUCACAUUCCAAUUUUGGCUUGAUAACAUUUGUUAGUUUACCUUCUCUAUCUAACACCUUAGGUGGAGACUAACCAAAUUCAAUGACAUUCCAAACUUUUUCACUUUGCAUUUUGAGAAAAUAUUGCAUUCUCACUUUCCAAUGAGAAUAAUUUUCACCAGUUAAGAAUGGUGGUCUCCUAAUGGAAGAUCUCUCUUAAUGAGGUUCCAUGAUUGAGAUUUAAGGACCGAAAAUGAUUUUUUCUUUAAAAACCCUCUCUGAUACCAAUUGAAAAGGUGAAUCUCAAUAGUGGAAUACACCUAAAUGGGGGUUGAAUAGGUGUUUUGACCAAUUUAUCAAAAUCUCAACUCAAAUUNNNNNNNNNNNNNNNNNNNNNNNNNNNNNNNNNNNNNNNNNNNNNNNNNNNNNNNNNNNNNNNNNNNNNNNNNNNNNNNNNNNNNNNNNNNNNNNNNNNNAAAAAAUGCACACUCUCUCACAAAGAAUGUAAAUUUUUCAAAAAAAAAAAAAAAAAAAAAACUUUCUUUUAUGGGGGGGCGCGGUGCUAUACAUUCUUAUAUAGGUAUAUAUAUAAAAAUAUAGAGACCUCACAGAGAAUGUGAGGGGUUCCUGUUCCUUGUGGGUCACUUCUAAAUCCUACACACACCCCUAAGAAACACACACACACUUUUUUUAUGGUGAACCACGACAAUAUACAUCCUUAUUUGGAUCUCUCUAUAAACAUAUAGAAGUGUGGGAGUGUGUGAGGCUCUCCCUUAUUUGAGUGGGCGUUUCUAAAACCUAUAUACAAAUUUUUUUACAUAUAGAAAUAUGAGAGGUACACGUCUAUUAUCUUUUCAUACCAUAUCUAUAUCACUCACUCUCUCUCUCACGUUUGUUUUGUGUGUAUAUAUAUAUAUAUAUAUAUAUAUAUAUAUAUAUAUAUAUAUAUAUAUAUAUAUAUAUAUAUAUAUAUAUAUAUAUAUAUAUAUAUAUAUAAAGUAUAUCCUUUUUAGGUUGUGCCUUUGAAUUAUUCCACUUNNNNNNNNNNNNNNNNNNNNNNNNNNNNNNNNNNNNNNNNNNNNNNNNNNNNNNNNNNNNNNNNNNNNNNNNNNNNNNNNNNNNNNNNNNNNNNNNNNNNCAAAGAUGAUUCAUAGUCAUUUCUCUUCAUCAUUCAAUCAAAUAGUAGACAAUCAAAAUUAUAAUAAAUUCUUGAAACUGAAAACUGAUGCUAAGAAGAGAAAGAGAGACAAUGAGACACCAUAAAUUUACAUGAAAAAUCUCCGAAGAGAUAAAAAACCAUGGGCCUAUUACUGAUUGAAAACAUCCACUAUGAAAAAUAAAAUCUGAAUACAAGGUUUUACCUACCUCAAGCCAACCAAUCUUUCCCAAACCACUUGACUAGUACCUUUACUUUCAGCUUCUCACCUUCUUCUUUCGAGGCACACUUGGAGUUUGUACCAAGCUCAAUCUCGACCUCUUCUUGAAUUCAUACAAGAACAAAAUGGGUUUUUGCACAAAACUGAGAGAAUGAGAGAUGAAUGUUUCAGAAAUCAACCCAUGUUCGUUUUUAGAAAAUCCAUUUUUUUAAAAAAAUUAUUGGAAAACUUGGACGGAUUUUCUUCAUAGGUAAACACCCUCCAAAUGGUGAGGAAAGAAAAAACUCUCUCACGGCUACUACAGUCACCACUUCCAGAAAUGAGGGAGAUUUGAUUUUAAAUGAGAGUGAAACCUUAAUCCAAAGGUUGAAAAUCGAUCUAAAAAACAUGUUAGUUGGAUCAAUUUACCCCUAUACCUAGAUUGAUCCAAAAACAGGGGAACAAAAGCCUUGCACCAACAAUAUUUCUCUCAGUUUUCUUUACUCAUUUAAAGAUGAAAAAUAGGGUUGAUUCACAUUCAAUCACCACACACUCAACCACAUACCUUGACCUCUUAGCAAGUCUUAAUCUUCAAAGGUCAAGUAGUUCGAAGAGGGAUUGGUAAACCAAGUUAGGGAACACUUAGGAAUUUUUUUCGGAAUUUCCAACCUAGCUAAACACUCACAGGUUCAUUUUUUUAGAAACAUAUAACACCUUAAGAAAAAUAUGUACAUUUGAUUUCAACUUAACAUGACAGAGUCACACUCAUUUGGGUCUAAGAUUUGACUUAUGUAUGCUACAAAAUGUAAUUAAGAGCUUCCCAAACCUCAUUUGACAUGGUGGAACCCUACCUAAGGUACAUCUUUUACAAAAAUACAUACAUUCUUAACAAAUAUAUAUAUAUAUAUAUAUUUUGAAGAAAAAUACUUACAUUUUUUUCAAGCGAACUGUGUGUUGGCGUCGUAGAUCUAAGGAACGGAAACAAUACGAAUUUAUUUAUUUAUUUUUUUAAAUUGAUCUUUAGGGUUAAAGUGCUAACCUUUAGGUUUGGAUGUUUCAGACCUUAAAUUCCAAGUGUUGAAGAUGACAUUGAAGUUGUUGGAAGUCUCGUAAACCCAUGGUCUUUUGCUUGAUGACUCAACUUUAUUCUUGGCACAUUUUUGAUAGGAAGGAAAGAAAGGUGGAGGCUAGAGCUCUCUUUAUCUCUAAAUGGUGGAAGGAAAAAGUGAUGAAGACUCUAACCCCUAGGGGGUAUUUAUAGGGUUCCUAACUAAGCUUAAGUGACUUGAGCCCACAUGGGCUUGGGUAACUUAAUUUAGGCCAAAAUGGAUCCUAAUUGAUUAAUUAACCCAAUAGGGCCUACUAAUUAAUUAAUUAGCUCAAUCUAGAGACUUUGUUCACUUAUCCUUGUGCAAUCUUGUAUAAUUACCAAAACACCCUUAUGCACAAAAGUAAACCUAUAGUCAAUUCGACCCUCAUAACUAUGCCAAAAAGAUAUAUAAGCUCAGAGCGGGGACCACUAGGAUCCAUAAGAGUACUAACUCCCUCAGGAUCCAAUUAUGAAGUUGAUUCAACAUCUUAUUACAAAGAAUCAACCAAACUCCAAUAUUCUAUGUAAAUAACAACAAGACACUACGUGCUCGGGUCUAUGACCUAGUAUCCAUUGUGUUCAGUCUUCCCAUGAACUGGUGUUUUAGUCUAACAAGGUGAAAGCUAUCAACCUUUCAAGACUCUCUACCAUCCUUGUGUUACAAAUCCUCCUAUUGUAUAUUCAAUUGACAUGUCUUAGCUUUCAAAGAGCUUAUGUCAAGUUCUACUUAAGGAACUAUUAUGACCAUAGUUUCCAUGAACACAUCCCCUUAAGAUCACCCAAGGGGACACAUUGUCUCAAUCCCAUGAGAUAUCAUGGUGUCUAUUGAGAAUGCCUAUUGUUACCGACUUCCAUUAACAGUGACCCAAUCCAUAGGGAAUAUAUGAUCAACUUACGAUCUCACCCAUAGGUAAAAGUCAUUGCUAAUUUUAGUACAAUCUCAAUAUUCUCUCAAGGUUGAGAGAUAACACAAUGAAGUAUCUUGGUGAGGUCAUGACUACUUGAUAGUCUUAAGUCAUGACUCAUCAUAGGUCUUGUCCAACGUGUAAUCAUACACAGUAGUGUACUCACCAUGGGAAACCCAUCCCAAUAACGAAGACCAACCAUCCCUCCAAUUAGGAGGUGGUGCACUACAACCUCUAAUGGGUUGCCUAGACCCAUAAACCGGUUGUGAACAAGUCAAUUAUUUGCAAGGAACCCAUGACUUAAAGAUCUUCUAUGCAACUCCUAAUGCACCUAAGUCAUGUACAAUGCAAAAUAUGUUGACAAGACUUCUCAUAAAAUAUAAUACAUGGAAUAAAGAUAGAUAAAAGUGAAAUGGGAACAUCAUUAAAUAAAUAAGGAAUUUCAAAUUUAAUACACCAUGUUAUGCUUUUAAGAGCUCUAUCUUAAGACUAUAAUCCUAUUUGACCUUAUUUAGGUCUAGGUAUUCACUUAUGGAAGCCUGAGAAUGAAUUAAAGGUCUUUCCUUACCUUGUUAGGCUUUUCUAAACCAUAAGAACAUCCUUAAGAAAAAAUACAUAUAUUUUUAUGGAAAACAUGUACGUUCUUAAAAAAACAAAAUAUGUGCGUUUUUUUUAAAGGAGAUUGUGACCUUAUUUUGCCUUAUUUAGGUUUUAAUAUUAACUUAUGGAAGCCUUGUAAUAAUUUUGAGGCUUCCCAUUCCUCGUUGGUCAUUUUUAAAGUCUACGUACAUCUUUAAGAAAAAUAUGCACAUUCUUAAACAAAGUAUGUAAAUUCUUCAAAAAAAAAAAAAAAAAAAACCUUUUCUUUUAAGGUGGACCAUGGUUCUAUUCAUUCUUAUUUAGGUCUAAAUAUUAAAUUAUAGAAGCCUCAUAAUGAAUUUGAGGUCUUCCUGUUCCUUGUAGGUCAUUUCUAAAUCCUACAUACAUCCUUAAGAAACAUACAUGCAAUUUUUUUAAGGUGAACCAUGACAAUAUACAUCCUUAUUAGGAUCUCAAUAUUAACAUAUGGAAGUGUUGGAAUGUUUGAGGCUUUCCCUUAUUUGAUUGGGCAUUUCUAAAACCUAUGUACAAUUUUUUUAACAUAUGGAAAUAUGAUAGGUACAUGACUAGUAUCUUUUCAUACCAUAUCUAUAGCAUUCAUUCUUACUAUCAUGUUUGUUUUGUGAUUAUAUAUAUAUAUAUAUAUAUAUAUAUAUAUAUAUAUAUAUAUAUAUAUAUAUAUAUAUAUAUAUAUAUAUAUAUAUAUAUAUAUAUAUAUAUAUAUANNNNNNNNNNNNNNNNNNNNNNNNNNNNNNNNNNNNNNNNNNNNNNNNNNNNNNNNNNNNNNNNNNNNNNNNNNNNNNNNNNNNNNNNNNNNNNNNNNNNUCAAAAAAAAAAAAAAAAAAAACCCUUUCUUUUAAGGGGGGGCACGGGUCUAUUCACUCUUAUUUAGGUGUAAAUAUAAAAAUAUAGACGCCUCACAAAGAAUGUGAGGUCUCCCCGUUCCCUGUGGGUCACUUCUAAAUCCCACACACACCCCUAAGAGACACACACGCACUUUUUUUAAGGGGAGCCACGACACUAUACACCCCUAUUUGGGUCUCUCUAUUUACAUAUGGAGGUGUGGGAGUGUGUGAGGCUCUCCCCCAUUUGAGUGGGCGCUUCUAAAACCCAUGUACACUUUUUUUAACACAUGGAAAUAUGAGAGGGACACGUCUAGUGUCUUUUCUCACCCUAUCUAUAGCACUCUCUCUCUCUCUCACGUGUGUUUUGUGUGUAUAUAUAUAUAUAUAUAUAUAUAUAUAUAUAUAUAUAUAUAUAUAUAUAUAUAUAUAUAUAUAUAUAUAUAUAUAUAUAUAUAUAUAUAUAGAUAUAUCCUUUUUAGGUUGUGCCUUUGAAUUAUUCCACUUCUAAUGGUUUGAAUUGUUUUUUCUAUUCUAAUGACUAUAAUUACCAUGGUACCAAGAAUUAUGUUUACCACGACCAUGAUUGUGUCCUUAGCCUUGUUCACGUCCAAGUCCAACUCAAUGUCUAGGAGCUUGGACGGAUGUGACAGUUGCUUCUAGCAAUGACACAUACCUAAUAGUAUGAGGUUGAUGAUUCUUCGGUAGAAGUUCAUUAUUUUGUUUAGCCAUAAGAAGACAUUAAACUAAUUCAAAAUAUUUAGUGAAAUGAUGUUCUUGAUAUCGUUGCCAUAGGAGUACAUUCGAGGCAUGAAAAAUGGUGUUCAUUAUUCUUUAAUGAUUUUUUCUCCAUAUAAAUUGUGAACAACUUUUGAAUAAAGUCGAGUUGUGGUCAUUGACAGACUUGAAAUUUUGUAAUCUCAAGUGCAUCUAAUCAUGAUGUGCUUUUGGAAGGAUUACAAUCUCGUGGUGGCCAUAUCAUUAUGUUAUAUUAUUCCAAAGGAUCAAAGUAUCAUUCCAUUAGAUUAUUUCAAAGGAUGAAAAUUCUUUGAUUGUAAGGAAUUCACCUUUUAUUCCUUCAUCAAUGUGAUAAUGAAGGAAUAUUAAUGCUCUAGUACGAUCUUGUGAGGAUGCCUCAUUUUAUUUUUUAAUGGUCUUUUCAAGAUUCAUAUUGUUUAGGUGAAUUUUAGCAUCUAGAAUCCAUAUAAAUAGUUUGCCUGAAAUAGGGAGUGUAACAAACUCAAACUUGGUAAGAUUUGACAUUAUUUGAAAACUAUAUUUGAAAUAAUUUAAUUGGAAUAAUAUUUCAAUUUACCAAAAUGAAUUAUAAAUAAAUGAAUAAAAUUAUCUAACAAUAUUUUAUCAGGUUAAUAUUCAUUAAUAAAAACAUAACGAUUUAAGAUUUUGUUAUAUUUUAUCUCUAAAGGAUUAUUAUAACUAUGGUAAAAAAAAUGCAUGAACAUCAUGUAGUAUUAACAAAAUAAAAAUUACGAAUUGAUAGCUUACAUAGCUUUUGGCUAUGGAUUAUUUUUAUCAUAACAAAAAUGUGUAAAUUUGUAUAUAUCUUUAGGCUAUGAAAUAUUCAUUAUUUAACUUCUAACUAUACAAUUUUGUUUUGUGUAACAUUUGGUUAUAUCAUUAUAAUUAAAAGAAAUUAGAAAUUACGUGUAAGUCAUUCUUUAUAUUUUUAUAACUUUAUAAUUUCUCAUAUAACCUUUGGCUAUACAAUUGUACAUAUUUUACAUAUUUUUUUAUAACUUCUAGUUGUGAUUUUUUUUCAUAAUUUUUGUCUAUAAAAAAAAUAUUUUCAAGUUUCUUCAUCGAAAAAAGGAUAAAUUAAAUAGAAAAUAAUACAAAAGUAGAAGUUUAUCACAUACCUUUUAGAGGAGAAAAAAGAUAUUUUAUGAGAAUAAGUUUGUCCUUUUAGUGUUUGAAUCUUAUACAAAAACUUAUAAUAAGAGUUUUCUUUUGGAGAGACUAGAAUUAGAGAAGAGAUAGAGUUCUAAAAUAACUUUGAGGUAUCCAUUUCAUUGACCCAAGUUUCCUAUUUAUAAGAGUUUGAAAAAACUAGGAUUAAUUAUAAUAUUUAAUUCUUUAUGGGGAAAAAGUAAAAAAUAAAAAAGGCUUUUAAUCAUUAAUUAAGAGUACUUGCUUAAAUACAAAAUUUCACAAAAAUUUAAACUAAAUUCCUUUAAAAAAGAAUAGAUAACUUGUUUUAAAAAAUAGUUAAACUAUGUUAAUUUUAUAUAAUUUGAGUGAGAAAUAAAUUUAUUAUAAAUUGACAAAGUUGUCAUUCACAAAAAGCAUCAAAUAUAUUUGAUUUUUUUUUUCAUUUUCAUUUUUCAUUUUUUUAAGGAAAAAUCAGAUUUAAAUUUUUUUCAUAAAUUGAUAGCUAAAAGAUAAAUUUACAAAAUUUCAAAUCCCCACAUGUUUCCAUUAUUUUUACCCCAUAAAUUAUCCCAUCCUUAAUAAGAUUGAAUUUUGCAAAUUAUUAUUGAUUACUCAUUCAAAAAUAAAAAUAAAUUACACUAAAAAUCAUAAAAUUUAAAUUAGAAAAAUAUUUAAUAUAAAUUUUAAAAAUUCAGCUUUAUAAAAAAUAAAAAUAAUUAUCAAUUCUAAUAAGAUUUUUUUAAUCAAAAUUCUAAAGCAUAAUUCACAUUCAUCUAAAUAUUUAUUAGAAUUAAUAAUUUUUAAAAAUAUAAAUUAAAAUUUGAUACCCCUUCGGAGAUAAAAUUCCAAAAAUCAAUGAAUUAAUUUAGAAAAGAAUACAUAUUUCAAUCUCAAAUCUUCAAAUCUAAACAUAUACUAACUUAGAAAAGUUCUAAUAGUUUCUAACAAGUCUAAGUGGGUAUUUGGUAAAUCAAUUUAAUAACUUAAUUCAAGUUAUUAAAUAAAUUAAAUAUAGUUGGUAAAAUAAUUUAAUGGUAUGACUUAAAGUAAAAAACAACUUUAAGUAAUAAGUAAAAAUAAUUAAUUUAUUCUUAAAUUCAUGUUUUCAUUUUAUCUUUUUACCCUCAUUUAUCUUAGUUCCACGAUUUAUUUUGCUAUUAUACAACUUCCAUCAUUACUUGAUCUCAUUUACCCUCAUUAUAAUUUAUGGGGGUAAGUAUAUUAAUUUGAUGAUUUAGAAUAAAUUUUAAAUUAAUUUUAUUAAAAAAUCUUAAUAUUUAAAGUAAAAAUUAAGUAAUAAGUUUUAAGUCAAUAACUUCAAUAUAAUUUUACUUAAAAUCAACUUAAGUCAUUGAGUAAUAAUUAUUGAGUUUUACCAAACACCCCAUAAUUAUACUUAUUAUCAUACUACCAAUUUCUUAUCAAUUACAUAAUUAUUUAUUAUAAAAUUUUAAUAUGUUAAUGAAUUAUGAUAUUUAAAUAUUUAAAAAUAUGUUGAUUGCAAACUAAUUUAACAAGAAAUAAAAUAAUAUUAUUUUGUAAAUAUUUUUGUAAUGUAAAAGAUAAGUAAUUUAAUAUUUUUUAACAUUUACUAAUAAUUAAAAUAUAAAAAAUUUAAAUAUUUAACAAUACUUAAUUUAUUCAAAUUUAAAACAAAUUUAGAUCUUAGAUAAAAAUACAAUCACCACUGAAAUUUUAAAUAUUUAAAAUACACAUAAAGUUUAAAUAUUUAUUUAAUUUCAGGAAUCUAAGAACUAAGGAAGGGACCAAUAGUGACUUGUCGAUCUAAAAGUAUGCAAGUUCUAUUUUCUUUUCCCUACAAUAUCAUUUUUUUCCUUGCAACAUCAUUUUUGUGGUGGAAAUUAUGCGGAGGACCAGUGUACUUAAUUGACAGGGCUGGCGAAAGCGAUGACGUGGAAUGAUCAAAGCAAUGAGAUGUCGUGGAAGCAACCAACUAUCGGGACGCUUCUAUAUUUUACCAUGCCAUAACAAAAGUUUCCAUAAUUCGCAAGUUCUGGAGAGAUACGAAACCGAGAUAGAAUAUAAUUUAGAAAGGAAAAUGAAAAUGAAAGCUGAGAUAAGGAAUGAGCAUCACCACCUCCUAGAAGUAUCCAAGGGUUUAACCCACUCUCUGAAAUUUGCUAUAAAUACUCAGCAAUUUCCCGUGUUGUUCAUCAAUACUUAAAAGAGUUUGAAUUUAUCAAUCACAUUAGUAGCAAUGGCAGACGAGAUUAUCGUGUUGGAUUUCCGGCCUAGCAUGUUUGGUAUGAGGGUCAGAGUUGCCCUGGCAGAGAAGGGUCUCAAGUAUGAAUAUAGAGAGGAGGACCUGUGGAACAAGAGCCCUUUGCUUCUUGAGAUGAACCCAGUUCAUAAGAAAAUCCCAGUUCUGAUCCACAAUGGAAAGCCCAUUUGUGAGUCUCUGAUAAUAGUUCAGUGUAUUGAUGAGGUUUGGUACGAUAAAUCUCUGCUUUUGCCCAGUGACCCAUACUAGAGAGCUCAGGCCAGGUUCUGGGCGGACUACAUAGACAAGAAGGUAUGCCUUUGCUGUUGAUUUAAAGCAUUCUUUUCCAUUGAUUCAUGGCGAUUGACUCAGAUUUUGAUUAUGGUGAGGGAUUUGUCCAAAAUGCUGGGUUUCUUCACACGUUCCCUUCUGAUAUUGAGUUUUGUGGGCUUUGGGGUUCCAAACUAGAACUUUUACUGAUUCUCCUUGCUGUUUGUUCAACAAGACUAUACUCUGCAUUUCUGAUAUGGGUUUAAAUUUCUUGUUUAUGUUGAAUACGAAUUCUGUUCGUUCCAUCAGGAAAAACAGAUCUCAAGAAUACCUUUUUUCCCCAAGCAAGGCGAAUACAUAAACCAGAUAUUUAAAGAAAGGUGUUUGGUUUUUUGUUAUCUUGCUGUUCAACAUCUUGCACAACAGUUGUUUUAAUAUAUGUUCUGUUUCUUUGAUCUCUUUCUUCUCAUUUUCUGAAACCCAAUUUGAGGGGAAAAACUUCAGCAAAUGAUACAUUCUUUCAGCUGAUUCUGAUCUUUUUUCUUCCACCGGCACUUCAUUUUAUUCUUAGCAAAUGAUAUUUCUAUGCGGAAGAGUCCUUAAUAAACUUGUCCAACUUUACAGAAUUUGAAACUUGAUGAAAUUCUCCAAAAAAAAUAAUCCUUCUCUCUUUGACUCCAUUAUUUUCCACAGCUCUAUGAACUUGGAAGGAAGAUAUGGUCAACCAAAGGAGAAGAGCAGGAAACAGCCAAGAAGGAAUUCAUAGAGUGCCUUAAGCUUUUGGAAGGAGAGCUUGGAGAGAAGCCUUACUUCGGUGGUGAAAAAAUUGGGUUUGUAGAUGUGGCUCUGGUGACCUUCUCUUGCUGGUUUUAUGCAUACGAGACCUUUGGCAACUUCAGCAUAGAGGCGGAGUGCCCCAAGUUGAUCGCUUGGACCAAGAGGUGCAUGGAAAGGGAGAGCGUGUCGUCUUCUCUUGCAGACCCCCACAAGGUCCAUGGCUUUGUCGUGGUGUUGAGAAAGAAGUUUGGUAUAGAGUAGAAGGGGCACAUGGGUCCUCUCUCGAAGACCCCGCAAGGUCCAUGACUUUGUCACGUGGAUGAGAAAGAAGUUUGGUAUUGAAUAAAAGGGAAAUAUCACGGUCUAUGCUCUAUUGAGUAGUGUUGUAUUGGUAAUGUAAGAGGAGUGUUUGCUUAAGUUUGCUAAGUGAUAUGGGUUUGCUGAGCUAUGUUGUUGGAAAUAAAUGUUUUGAAUUUGUUUUGGACUAGAGACGUGUUCCUGUAUUAAAGAAAUAAAAGUCUUUGACUACAUUUCCAUCGUGUCCACAUGAACAACUAUUAAGACAAAUUGGUUAAGACAUGCCCUAGAUAGAAAUAGAUAGAAGUGAGUCAUGAAAUGCACAUAUCUAACCUGCUCUUAUUACCAUAUUUUUUUUUUUUUAAAAAAAACUUUGAUAUGAGAAGUCAAAGAGCAUGUCGUUGUUGAUUUUUUUUUCUUUUUCACAAGAAUAUAUAUAUAUCUUCCAUAAAAUUAUCUUCAUGAAAAUUUUCUAUUUUCAAUUUUUUUUCUCUAUUCCAUUUUCUCAUAUUUAUUGAUUUUAAUUAUUUAUAGAUGUUUUAAAUAUAAAAUAAUAAUAUAAAAUAAAUAAUUAAUAAGAAAAAUUUUAAUAUAACAAUAAAUAAAUAAAAUGUUGAAAGUAAUAUUAUGGUAGGAAGGAUGUAUCACUCUUUUUUGGUUUAAACUAAGAUAUGUUACCAUCAUUUAUGUGCUAGAUGUCUUAUUAAUGGUGAAAUAACGUGAAUUCAAAGGGUGUUAAUGUAACAUUGAUCAACACAACCCUUGAAAAAAUGAAUACCACUCUUUUAUAAAUAAAAAACACCACUAAAUUGUAUUAAAAGUAUCAUUGUAGUGUGAAUGUUGUACUAUUCUUCUUUGGUUUAAGGUAUGUUUCCAUUUGUUAUGUGCUCAACGUAUUAGGUAAUGAUGAAAUAACGUGAAAUGAGUGAAUGUUAUUAUGCAACAACACCGAUCAACACAACCCUUAGAAAAAGAGGGUACCACUCAUUUAUGAAAAAUCUACUAUGUUAAAAGUACUACUAUGGUGGGAAGAAUGUAUCACUUGUCUUUAAGUUCUACCAUGGUAGGAAAAAUGUAUCACUCUUCUUUGGUUUACGGCGAGGUUUGUUACUAUUCAUUACAUGCUCAACGUCAUAUGUGAUGAGGAAAUAAUGUGAAUUGAGAUGGUGUUAUUUCACUAUAACACUGAUCAACACAAAUCCUUGGAAAAAAGGGUACUACUCUGUAGACAUAAAAAAAAUUAGUGGAUUAAAUUACCACUAAUUUGGUCUUCAAAAUGAAUAAAAAAAAAAAUAUAUAUCCUCUUAUGGAUAAGUUUCCUUAAUCUCCAACUAUAAAAAGGAUAAUAAUAAUAAUAAUAAGAAAAUUAUUAUUAUUAUUAUUAUUAUUAUUAUCUUGUUGAUAAAACCUCUUGGGAGAAGAAAAUUUGCUAAAAUCAAGGAACUAAAUCCCUUGAAUUAAGCAACUAAACUCCGAGAAUUUGAAAUUCAAAUUCCAUAUCUUCACCUAUAAAUAGAGGUGUCUUCUUUCAAGAAAGGAGAUGAAGAAAUUGAGAAAUAAAAAAAAAAUUCAGAAAGGAAAAUCCUAAGGAGAAAAUCCAAAGGCAAUUUUGUACAGGAAAAAAAGGUUUCAUAACAAAAGAAAAAGUUUCAUCAAAUUUCUCUGCAAGUUUGGUAAAUGGUAGAACUGCUAAACGCAUUCUUUGCCAUUUAACGAGUUCAUUCGGGAAUAAGCCACUUGUGACCCUCGAUUGAUCUUUGAAAUCAAGAAAACGUCAUCGUCGUCUUCCAAAGUGUGAUUAAGGCAAAAGAAUUAGGGGGGAAAAUUAUUUUGGAAAGAAUAUUAUUUUGAGAUUUUACCCACAAUAUUUUCAAUUUUAAUAAAUGUUUUGUUCGCAUUAUUUUCCUAUUUAUUUUGUUAAUUUGGUAGGACCAUUUAUGAAAUUUGUGGGUACAAAUUUCUAGCACGCCCAGCGAGACUUCUUUGCCUCUCGUCUCUUUUUAGAAGAUUGAUCUCUACUUCAUUGAUGACACCCAAAAGAACUCAAGUUGUGCAUGUAAACAAGGGCAAUGACAAGAUCAUCAUUGCACAAUCAACACAUGACGCCGCUAUGGGCCCCAUGACUCAUAGCAAAGCAAAAUCAACAUCUUCACUCUCAACAAAACAAAUAAGUGAGUUUGCUUGUUUGCUAAAAUCGGUAAGAACGUGUGAUGAGCACCAGCCACUCAUCACAUUGGUCUCUCUAGGGGCAAAGAGCCAUAGUCCUCGUAGUAGGGGAAAACUCACUUCAACACUACAGGACUUAGGAUAAAUCUCCUAGCUCUGUUAUCGAUUCUAACUCUAGCACCGGCUCAUACUCCGAGUCGCCAGCUGGAAUGUCAAAGGAGGAAAACUACUCCAAUCGUUUCGACUCUUUUACUUCUCCCUUCUCGAUGACUAUGCUGGUAAUGGCAACUGGCACUACAUUUGUAGAGGAACAAUUAGUAGAGAUGGCUCAUGGCAUCGCCAAACUCACCAAAAUGGUUGAGGAGAAGGAUAUGCAAAUAGCCUCCCUCAUAAAUAAGGUUGAGGCACAAGUACAAAAUAUGGGUGAGUCAAGUCAAGGACUCAACCACUUUCUGAAUGUUGCAUCUCUUCUCGAUGAUGCACCACAUGCGUAUAGGACAAUCCAAGUUGAGAGACAAAUGGCGGAAUCUGCCUCAAUGGCAUCAUUAUCUAUCCAACAACUUCAGUACAUGAUAACUAACACCAUUAGAGUGCAGUACAGUGGACCCUUACAGAGUACGCUCAUGUACUCAAAACGUUACACUAAGAGGAUUGAUAACCUACGUAUGCCUGUGGGUUAUCAACCUCCAAAAUUUCAAUCAUUUGCAAAAUUUCAAUCAUUUGAUUGGAAGGGAAAUCCAAAACAAUAUAUUGCCCAUUUCAUUGAAACUUGUAACAAUGCAGGUACAGAUGGUGACUUAUUAGUUAAACAAUUCGUCCGUUUUAUUCGAAGGAAUGCUUUCGAUUGGUACAUAGACCUUACACUUAAGUGUAUCGAUAAUUGAGACCAAAUGGAAUGUGAAUUCCUCAAUAGUUUCUAUAACACCCGACGAACUGUAAGCAUGAUGGAACUUACUAACACUAAGCAAUGGAAAGACAAGCCGAUUAUAAACUAUAUCAAUUAUUGACAUUCCUUAAGCCUUGACUACAAAGAUAGAUUAUCUGAGGUAUUGACCAUGGAAAUGUGCAUACAAGGAAUGCAUUGGGGUCUCCUAUACAUUCUCUAAGGGAUACAACCUCAUACAUUUGAAGAAUUAGCUACCAAAGCACAUGACAUAGAGCUCAACAUAGACAACCAUGGUUCUAAGAAGGACCUUACCAUUGAUCGAUAAAGAGAAAGACAUGAUGGGAAAAUGAGUGACAAGACCUCAAAGAAACCUAUUCAGGAGUCAAUGACAAUAAAUAUAACUCUUGUCAAAAUCUCAGCAAGAGAUAAAAAAAAGGAAGUAAAAGAGGUCAGACUAACCCAGGAAAAUAAGAUGUGUCAAUUCAUCUUGAAGGAAUUAGAGGAGAAGAAGUAUCCUUUUCCUGACUUUGAUGUGCCUAACAUGUUGGAAGACUUGCUCCAAAAAAAGGUUAUUAAGUUACUUGAGUGUAAGCAUCCAAAAAGAAUGGGUCGUGUUAAUGAUCCAAUCUACUAUCAUUACCAUCGAAUUGUUAGUCAUCCUAUGGAGAAAUGUUUCAUUUUAAAAGAUCUCAUAAUGAAACUUGCAAAGCAAAGAAGAAUUCAUUUAGAUCUGGAUGAAGUAGUAGAGUCAAAUCAUGCUAUAGUCACAUUUGAGUCAUUUGAUCCUGUUCCAUUACAUGUUCCACUUAAGAAACUAGGGACAUGUGGCAAUACUAUUCAAUGUGAGUCACCAAAACCAAAGCAAACAUAAGUGUCAUGUUAGGAUAGCCUUCUUCGCCUUUGCUCUGAUAAUAAAUCAAUGUCAUAUGACGAAGAAGGUUGGAUAUUGGUGACACGAAGAAGACUUUGCAAGAAGCAAGGGUCGCAUUCAUACCCUAACCUUCUUAGGAGGGAAUGACAUGAGUGGAAUACUCACCAACAUUUAAAGAAGAAAGAAAAAAAGAAUCUUAAAAGAAAACAAGCGAUUGUACAAAUAGACGACUUUUUGGUCCAGAAACUCAUCACCCCUAUCACCCUAGAGAAAUACUUCCCUCUAGGGUUCUUUGAUAAAAGGGUGGCAGUAUCAACUCAUAUGGUCUCUUGCUAAGAGACUUCAAAAGAAGAGGGGUUAAGUGAAGAUGAGGAAAACAUUCUUGGUGUUGAGUCAAGAAAAACUAAGGAAGAAGAGGGGGUUGUAGCAAGCCUACAACACCUACUCUCACUAUUUAGUAGCCACGAAAUGCUACAACUACCUAAUGAGAUACAAAAUGUGUUGAUUCAAGUACUUAAGGAUCCAACACUCUAUGCCACCAAAAUAAAGGGGGCAAAAAGACUUGAGGAUGAAAGCCACAAUUGUGCCAAAUGUUGUGCAGCCAUCAUUUUUACUAACGAAGACCUUCAGUUAGGGUCAAAACCACAUAAUCGACCCCUGUUUGUUACUAGGUACAUACGGGAACAAAAUAUCACUUGCAUUUUAAUUGAUGAAGGGUUUGGAAUAAAUAUCAUGCCUAAAGCAACAAUGAAAUGACUCAGGAUUGCUACAAAAGAACUAACUCAGAGUCGCCUAAUGAUCUAAGGCUUUAAUCAAGGGGGACAACGAGCUAUUGGUAUGAUUCACCUAGAGCUUGUUACAGGUGAAUUGAGUUCGAACACAUUGUUUCAUGUAAUCAUUGCAAAACAUUUUACAACUUAUUACUCGAGCGACCAUGACUUCAUGAGAAUGGGGUAAUUCUUUCGACACUAUACUAGUGUUUCAAAUUCUAUAGAGGAGGGGUAAAGGUAGUAUAGACUGAUACUAAGCCAUUUACAGAAGUCGAGUCUUAUUUUGUUGAUGCUAAAUUUUACAUAGAAAAUGAUGUUAUGCAGGAAGUCCUUCUUGCGAUUAUUCUCUCCACUGGGAAUGCUAAACUUAAGGAAAAAGUUGAGCUAUGUAAGUUGACAUCAGCAGGGAAAUUUCAUAACAAAUGAUGACUCAAAUAAAAAAAAAAGAGAAAUUUUCAAAAAAAUUGACAUUGGACUUGACAAUUCUCACUACUUUCCUAGUUUUUAGGUACAUCCCAAUAUCUCGACGAAGUGAGGGUCAACCAUUUUUCAUAGAAGACAAAAACAAAGUACAACCCUGAGGAUUGGAAAAUGGGGACCUUUAAGUCUUGAAAGAAGAUACGACCAUUCCUCUUCCAAACUUACAACUUAUCUCUAGGGAUGAAACACAAAAAUCCAACAAAACCUCAAGAGAUCAAACAAAGCAAGAAUUCUUUCCUGGUAAAAGAAUAAAUGAGGAGUUCAACCCUAAGACUUACAAGUUAUUAGCCAAGGCAAGGUAUUACUUCACUUCGUCAUCACGAUUAGGAGAACUUAGCCUCGAGACUACAGGUGAAAAGAUGCAUGACUUUAACGAAACUCAAAAAAAGUUGAAACAACAAGGGUAUGCAGUCAAACCUUCUAGUGCAGGUUUAGGGUUUGUACCUUUUGAGCCUAUCAAAAUUUUAGUUAAGACUAAGAAGACUAAGGCAAGUACACAACAUAUCAUUGUAGAAGACAUGGAGGAGAGUAGUGGGUCUAACUCUCCUUCUCGAAUUUCAAUAUUUGAUCGGAUUGAAGCUCUAAUUACAUGAGCUUCAGUGUUCACUAGGUUGGGCGAUUUUAACCAAGUAUAAUGUAAUUUAGCACAUAUUCCACAAAGGUCAAUACAACGAAGGAUUAAUACUCUACCCAAAAGUCACGACGACAAAAUCCCAAUAAGAAGUAGUGUAGUGAACUAAAUAAGAAUGCAAAAAUAAGAAGUUUAAUCCCAUCAAGGAUGAAACACCAUUCAACUUGGGAAAUUUGUACUAAUGGCUAGUUAAAAUUAAAAUGACAUACCAUCGUGAUCACCAAGCAGUCGGACGAGGGAUGCCCUAAAGAUGUUAAAUAAAGUUUGACACACAGUAACUACCAUAUUACAGUAGAAGUUGACUCUAAUUCAGAGUUUUUAGAAGAUGAACUAUGAGAAGCUCCUCAAGUAUUUGAGGACGGGGGGCAGGCCACUGUAGAUGAGUUAAAAGAGCUCAAUUUAGGUACAAAUGAGGACCCAAGGCCAAUUUAUGUAAGUAUGCUUUUAAGUCCUUCUGAAGAGAAAAGUUAUUUUGAAUUGUUACUCAAUUAUAAAGAUGUCUUUGCAUGGUCGUACAAAGAAAUGUCAGGUCUUGAUCCAAAAGUUGUAGUACAUUAACUCACGGUGAAACAUGGUGUCCGAUUGAUUAAGCAAGCCCAAAGACGAUUUUGACCAGAACUUGUUUCGCAAAUAGAAACGAAAAUUUUCAAAUUGAUUGAAGUUGGUUUUAUUAAGGAGGUAAAGUACCCGACAUGGAUUGCGAACAUUGUUCCAGUGAAGAAAAAGAAUGGGUAGAUCCGUGUCUGUGUAAAUUUUAGAGAUUUAAACAAUGCUUGCCCAAAAGAUGACUUCCCAUUACUAAUUAUUAAGCUUAUGGUUGAUGCAACUACAGGUCAUGGAACUUUAUCCUUCAUGGAUGGAUCAUUGGGGUAUAACCAAAUACAAAUGGUGCCAGGGGAUGAAGAACUUACUGCAUUUUGUACUCUAAAGGGUAUUUACUGUUACAAAGUGAUGCCUUUAAGACUAAAUAAUGCAGAUGCAACGUAUCAACAUGCCAUGCAGAAAAUAUUUGAUGACAUGCUUCAUAAGAAUGUCGAGUGCUAUGUUGAUGAACUGGUGGUCAAGUCUAAGAAGAGAGAAGACCACCUGCAAGAUCUUCGUAUGGUGUUUGACAGGUUAAGAAGGUACCAACUUAUGAACCUACUCAAAUGUGCUUUUGGUGUUACUUCUAGUAAGUUUCUAUUUUAUUGUUCGACACCGUGGCAUUGAAGUGGAUCAAUCUAAGAUCGCAACCAUUCGAGCUAUGCCAGAGCUGAGGAAUCUUUAAGAACUUAGAAGUCUUCAAGGACGUCUUACUUUUAUUCGACGAUUUAUUUCAAAUCUUGUAGGACGAUGUCAAUCCUUCAACCAACUUAUGAAGAAAGAUGUCCCAUUUGUUUGGGACAAAGCUUGUCAUAAUCCCUUUGAGAGAAUAAAAAAGUAUUUGGCUAAUCCACCAAUCUUAGGUGCUCUUAUGGCAGGGAAGCCAUUGAUACUCUACAUUGCCGCACAAAAAUGCUCUCUUGGAGCAUUGUUUGCACAACAAAACGAGGAGAACAAAGAAAAUACAUUGUAUUACUUAAGUCAAACUCUAAUGGGAUCAGAACUAAAUUACUCCCUAAUAGAGAAAACUUGUCUUGCUUUAAUCUUCUCGACAAAAAAGCUAAUACAUUACAUGCAGGCAUACACAGUACACUUAAUAGCACACGUUGAUCCCAUUAAGUAUGUGCUAUCAAAGCCAGUUAUUUCAAGACGAUUAGCAAGAUGGGGGUUGUUACUCACUGAGUAUGAAAUAAUCUACAUUCCUUAAAAGGUAAUCAAAGGACAACGCAGACUUCUUGGCAGAUCAUCCUAUCCUUGCAACAUGAAAAAUUUUAGAUGACUUCCCCGAUGAGGAGAUCUUUUAUGUUGAUGUUUUUCCUUCGUGAAUGAUGUUCAGGUCAGCACGUUAUGAUGGAACAGGUGCAGAUGUUGUAUUUGUCUCACAACAAAGAUAGAUACUACCAUAUUCAUUUGUUCUUAGUGAGAGAUGCUCUAACAACGUUGCUAAAUACCAAGCCUUAAUUAUUGAACUACAAAUAGCGAUUGAAAUGAAAAUCACAAGCUUAGAGAUAUGUGGGGAUUCUAAGUUGGUAAUCAAUCAACUUCUAGCCUUGUAUAAGGUUAAAAGUGAUGACUUAGUUCCUUACUUCCAAUAUGCUACCCAACUGAUGGAAAAGUUUGAGCGAACCUCUUUAGUUCAUAUUCCAUGAAAGAAAACUAAAUGGCAGAUGCUCUAGCUAAUCUAGUUGCAAGUUUGACACUGCUUAAGGACGAGACUAUACACAUCACUCUUUGCCAUAAGUGGGUACUGCCGCCAUUGCCACUAUUACAACAAGAAGAAGUAAACGCUACAUCGGUAUUUACUAUUGACAACGAAGAUUGGCGACAACCAUUAAUUGACUACUUAGAGCAUGUGAAGUUACUUGAUGAACUAAGGCAUUGAACAUAAAUACGACAUUGAGCUCCAUACUUCAUUUACUACAAAGAAACACUUUAUCGAUGCUCAUUCCAUGGAGUACUUCUUCGAUGCCUAGAAGGAGAAGAGACAAAUCAAGCAAUUGAAGAAGCUCAUUCUGAGAUCUAUAGGGCUCACCAAUCAGGGCCAAAACUUCAUUUUCGAAUCAAAAGGAUGGGAUACUAUUGGCCAACUAUGGUUAAGGAUUGUAUGGAAUAUGAAAAGAAGUGUCAAUCAUGCCAAUUCCACUCAAAUUUUAUACACAACCCCUUGAGCCACUCCAUCCUACAAUUGCGUCAUUGUAGACCCUCAAUUUUGUCCCUUUAGCACAUGUCUUUAAGUUCGUUUUCAGUGCUUCAAAAUAGUUCCUUGGUGGCCCAUGGCUACUCAUACCACUUACCUUUUUCUGAGUCACCUCGGAGAUUUUGGUGGAGGAAUUAUUUGAUCCUUUAUUGUGACCCUUGGCAGCCCUAACUUAGACUUAGACUUUUCUUGUUUUUUUUUUUUUUUUUUUAGGAUAGCUUUUAGAUACAUUUGGCCCAUUUGGACAUUUUUAGCGUGACUUGUAUGACUUGCAUGGUUACAUGGCUUUUGGGCUCGACUUUUUGUUUAUUGGUUUAUUUUUAUUUUAUUUCAUUUUAUUUAUUUUUACCGUUUCCUAAUUUAUUUACUUGCUUAUUUAUUCAUUCAAUGAUUUAACUUCAAGAUUUUCAUGUUUUUGCAAGGAAACUUACCAUUGGAGUUUAAGGAAGGUGGGACUCUCCUUGGAAGGUUUUGGAGGGGAAUUUGAAAUUGAGAAGAUUGCUUUUGAUUGGAAGAUUUAAAAAAAGGAAGAAAAGAAGAAAGGAAAUAGGAGAAUUUUCCUUUUUGGAAAGAAAUUUAGGUCUUGAGGGGUGAUAUAUAUAGGUGAGAAAAGGAAAAGAGGGGGAAGGAUUUUUUUUGGGGGUAGAGCACGCGUUGGAGGAUUGGGAGGAGAUUUGAGGAGGUUCUUUUUGGAGCAGCAGGCAUUGGAGGAAAAUUUGUCGGGGAAAAGAACAGAGGAAACGAAAAGAGCAAUUGCAACCAAGGCUGUCCAGGUAUGCACCUCGUUGCUUUUGGAAUUCUGACCUAUGUUUGAUUUUUUUCCACGUGAAUAUUUAAUGGUAUUGUUGAUUUUGUGUGGACGAAAGGGGCCACAAUUUGUUUUGUUGAGAUUGGUUGCUUGCUUGUUUGCCUUGUUUUGGUUUUGAUUGUCAUUGAUGUCUUCGGAAGCAUAUAACUCCAUGCCUGAAUGUGAUCAGAUUCUGUUCUUCAUUUAAAUCAUAUUCUGCAUUUGUCUCUCUGUUUUUAGCCCAUGGAUUAAUAUCUGAAGUGGGGGCUAUCCAUGUUUACUGAUCAACACCUUCUGCCAUUUCCUUCUCCAAGUUUUACUUCAAUUUUUUUUAUCUUUUAUCUGUAUUCUUUUCCUCGCAUGGUGUUCGAACCCUUGCUCUUGUAUUUGGGUAUACGUCGAGGAAUGAUGUAAGUGUCAAUAUGAGGGAUGAACUGUGCAACAAUCCCACUCAAAAAUAAUUGAUUCCGAGGUAUUGUAAUGGAUUGUGGAGACUGGAGGUAACGUCUUAUUGGCAUCAGAUUUGACCUUUCUAAUCCUAUGGGAUUCAAUGGCUCGUACAGAAUCGCAACUCCGGUGUUAUUUGCAAGCAUAGCUAAAUGGGUUAAAGCCAAGCUAAUAUUUUCUCUUGCUUCCGAAUGAUCGCGUUAUCAUUGGCCAACAUCACUUCUACCCUUUCCAAUUUUCCAAGCGCUUCUGACCGUAAGAAUAAUGGUCUCAGAGAAAGCAAUUUGACUUGUAAAACAGAGGGUUUCAGAGAGUGUCAGGAAGGUGAUUGAUUUGGGUAGCACUGAAAAAGGAUGGUUUGAACUAGGGUUUUGAAUCACGCCUUGAGUUAUUAGAGCAGUACGAAGAAUUGCGGGAUACCAGUGAUGGAUUGAUGGGUUCGGUGCCGAUUCUGGGUCGUAUUACAGAUUUGGGGCAGAGACGAUUGGUGAUGGCAAUGGGAUUAAUGCAAAUCAGGGAGAUGCUAUUUUUGAGGAAACGUAGUUCACGGGUUUUAGGAAUGUAGUUUCAGAAUUUUCAGAGAUUCUUGAUGUAUUGUGUUAGAAUAUUCUGAAACAGUUUCAGUAUACCGAAGGAUCCAAUACGGGCUUAGCAAUUACUAUAAGGAACAGAAAGAAGGAAAUUGAUGCGACUUCUGCGAACAAGUAAGUUCCAGAUACUUCGGUUGGAAGAACCUUCUCAAUAAGGUGAUCAAUCAGAGGAGGUAUCUUGCACAGUAGACCUUUCUGAUUCUUUAUGUUAUCAACUUGAUCUUGUCUCUUUUGUCGCAUAUGUCAAUUCUGCUCAUUUAUGGAAUUCAAAAUCCUCAUUGUUGUUGCCUGAAAAAGAAAUUACGGCAAUUGGAGAAGACAAUCAGUCUGACCCUUUUUGUUGAAAAUUUUGUUUUGGAAAGAUUUUCUAUUUAAACCUCCCUGCGGGUACUAUUCGAUGAAGUCUUUGGUAAUAAAUUUCAGGAUGCUAUUGAAUUGAUAAGUAUGUAGCCAGUUGCUUCUAAUUUAGCAGCCUGGAAGAGAAUGCGAGUUGUUGAAUUCAUGCACAUGCGAUAUGCUCUGGAAUCUGUGGUGCUUGCAGUUGGAGCUAUGGAAAGAAGUACAUCUUAUCAUCUACUAUUGGUGAGAGAUAUAUUGUUCUUGCAAUGAAGCACCCUGCUGUCUUCUUAGAUAGCAGGUACAUUGACAAUGGGGAUAAGGAUAAGAAGACUUAUACGUCUUCUUAGAAUAUGGAGGAUUCACUCAAUACAAAAGUCACUCUUUUCGUCUCUGGAAUUGAGAAACCACAGUUUAGAGGAUGGAAUUAAAGUUUUUAUGCCCCAAGUUGCAGUAGCAGUUCUGGUAAUACUCAAACUCAGAGCAUCACGGGGUAUGACAGGAUGGCUGGAAUGGUGAUUGGAAGGCUCCUGGCGUCCAGAGAUUCCCUAAGUAGCAGUGGAAGUUUACUACUGGUGUAGCCAUGAUUGAAGUUACAGCUCCAUGUGUAUAUGCUAUCAAAAGAAGAAGGAUACGAGACUCUGAUUUUCCAUACCACUGGAAUGGGUGGAAGGGCUAUGGAGGAUCUGAUCAGAAGGGGAUUUAUACGAUGUGUUCUGGACAUAACAACAACAGAGGUUGCUGAUUAUGUAGUUGGAGGUGUUAUGGCUUGUGACAAUUCCCACCUUGACGUCAUGAAGAUAAGAAAUUUGUCGGCUUUGUAGCAAACGAACUAAACGAAACAGCAUCAAAGGUAAUGUUGACCCGAAUGAUUAGGCUCAUAUUCAGAAAGACAGAAUUUGAUCCAGACUCGAUUUCCUCUGGUUCUGCUACAAAUAAAGAAGUUGAAUUUCUGGACUGCACAAGGACCUUUUAGUUCUGAUUUUUCUUUAGGUGCCAAUCUUACCACAAUGGAAGAUGUCCAGAAUAGUUUUAAUGCAACGCAACUUAGGCUUUGUGGAAGGUUAAGCAAUGUUGAUGGCUAUAUAAUGCCGAUCAUCUUCCCAAGUGUUAUUCUCUGUGGCUGAGUUGUUUUCUGAAGCUGAAACAUAAAGACCCUCUCAAUAAGGCCGCCUCUAUGAAUCUUGCUCAGCAUGCACUGAUCAGCAAUUUCUGGUGAGAUCUCAGCCAGUUCCAGCUGAUAAGCAGGUGAACCAGGCAGGAAGGACCAAUUGGCAAACACUCUUGGGCUUUCCUGGUGGGCAUGAAACCCAGAAUUGCAAUGGGGUAGUUCAGAAUCUGAAUCUAGUUCGACUUGGAGGUCUGAGUCAGACAUUAUAUAAUUAGGAUGGCAAAGAAGACUCCUUACCUACAGCGGCCCAAAUUUAUUAAGUCGUCCUUUGACACUAAAGAGAUCACCGGUUUGCCCUUGAUAAAUUAAUGUCAUCAUGAGCAGAUUUUGUUCCUAUUCUUUAGCUGAGAAUCAAAUGCAUCACACCAUCGAACAGUUGAAAUCUUUGAGUAGGAGCAGAGAAUGAUGCAGAACAGAGAAAACAAUGACCCAGGUCCAACAGGUCUCAUGAGGUUUGAUGGUGAGAUCCGUUCAGCAAUGUUGGGAAGCAACUGGAAAUAUGGGCCUCAUGCUGCUGCAACUCACUUAGACUACAUGGUUGAGUUUACAGUCACUGUGCCAAUUUUGAGUCUUGCUGGAACAAUGGAUAACUUACCAGCUGGUGAACCAUGGCUGCAGAAACUAAAAGCGGAUUGAGCAGGAUGCAACUACUCUCAUUCCAGGAAACAAAGAACUGAAACCACACGAGUAGGACCCUUUGAACAAAAAUGCUGGUAUCAAUACACAUCCUACGUGCCCAUCUAUUAUUCAAUCCAAUUCUGAAGUCCCAGUCAUGUCACCUAGAAAAAGCAAAGGAGAAAUUCAAAGGGAACCCUUGGGCUUGAAAGGAAAGGUUCUUAGUCUUGGAAAGGUUCAGAAAAGCCGGAAGGUGUAGAAAGAAUUCAAGCAGCCACAGAAGGCUUCCUCCAAGCUGAUAGUACCACCUAGCACAGGUUUCGGUACCUUAACCUAUGGAUAUAGUUUGCUCUUGAGAGCGUUCCAUACAUUCGAAACGGCAUCAAUAAGUCACUACUUUUGGAUCAGCACUUGGAACUGGAUCUUAGUACUGUCAUGCUUGGCUGUUGCUUUUGGUUUUAGAAACAUGAACUGCUUAGGUAACGCAUCUGGCUUGGCAGUUAUAAUUAUAAUGUCAGUCACCACCUGCCUAAUGUCUCUGGUUGCUGUACUGUGCCGACACCAGAAUGUCUCCUCUAUAAUUGGCUCCAUGUUCUUCAUUGGCGUAAUUGAAGCUUUCUAUUUCUCAGCAUGGAUCUCUAAGCCACUCCUGAGCAUGCGUGUAAGAAUGGAUAGCAGGGCAGAUUUUCAGGUUCCUGGUCAGAGUGGAAUAAUGGGACAGCCAAAUGAAGACGAAUUCCCCAUGAACUUCCAAAAAUAGACUUAAUGAUAAGAAGAGAGGUGAAAAAGAAUUCAGUGGCUAUUCGAGAUGACUUUUAUGGAUGAAUUCGGUAGAGAAUUGAAAAGAAUUCAAGUGGUUGCAUAUGUGGGUGAGAUUCAAUAGCGUUAACGGAUACUCUUGAUGGCUGAAAUUUAAAAGAAAUGAUAGACUACAUAAGUGAGGUGAUUGAAUUUUAUAAAUAUGAUUAUGGGUUUUGAAUUACAUCGAGAUCAGCACUUGUUGAGAUUAUCAUAUUUAUGCUGGUAACAUUGCAAUCAUAUACGUUUUCAUCCCAAGAGUUUGAUCAUGCGUCAAAAUAUCUAGAAGCAGAGCAAAUUGAAACCUUUUCAAAAUCAGCAGUGGACAGAUUCUGUCCUAAAACACUUGAAGUUGGAGCAUACUGAGGCAGUUUAGUCUUCUGAAAUCCAUACCUAGUUUCCUGAUGAUUCAAGUUCUUUAUUUGACUUUUCCUUUAUAGAGAAAGCUCCUAGUGGCAUUGACCAGCCAGGAAUUCACCAUAUGCUUCAUCAACAAUAAUGUGCAAUUCAGGAAAAACGAGGUUGGAUGGUCAGAAGAAGACUUUGAAACUAGUUCAGGAUCUCAAUCUAGUGAAUCUGAUUUCUCCAGUUUCAGUCCAGAUGAGCUUCUGCAGUUAAUUGGUGAUGCAUCAGUUAUGGGAAAGGUCCUUCAUCAACUAGCACUUCACCUUUAUAAGAAUCCAUCAUGAUUCUCAGCACUUGCUGUUGUCUAUUUUCUGACAUGUAUUAAGCAAAGAUUGGUCUGAAGAGAGAUAAUACAUCCUCUAUCUAGUACACAGAUUCAGACGCUGAAUUCCGUGAUUAUGUUAGUGAGGUCACGAGGGAAGUGUGUAGGCAUCACUAUGCAAAGUGCCUUGAAGUUGUAUCAAUUCGUUUGCUGGAUAAUCGCCCACAAAUUAGCAAAAAUCAUCUUUCAAAAUAUAUGAAGUAUCCUACGUUUAUAGGAGAGCAAUUGAUCAUUCAACACCAAAUUGUUAUCUUCAGGGAAAUGUUGAUAUGAUUGGAGGUGCAAUAGCAUUGACUUGAGAUAGUCAACAGUAUGUGAUCACAGAGUUAGGAUAUUACAACAAGAAGAGUCCAAUGGGCUUAAAUCUUUUUGACAGAAAUUCUCAUCUAUCUUGGACUUUAAGCUAGCGUCUGAUGAAAAACAUCAGAAUCUUCACCCUAUUCUAUGAUAGAUGCAUGCAUUGCAGUAUGCUCGAGAUCAUUGUAGGCCUUUAUCCGAGAAGAAACAGAAUAGAGUGAACCAGGUGUUGAAUAAAGCCCGUGAUGAUGCUGAAAGUAGUGCCUAGAAGAACUCGUUAGAAAGUAACAAAGGCAAUGUCCUCUUUCCUCUCCUCUGAUGUGCCUUCUCCUGUUUGGAGUAUACCAAUAAUUCGGAAACUGCACUCUUUAUCUGUGACUUUACUUGAUGGAAACAAAGGGCAAGAUGGGAAGCCUCACAAGGAAGAGAAGCCUCAAAGUCUAUAUGAGAAUUUAGAAGAUUCUUUUGCCACAAAGGCAGCAGAAGAAAUAUGCUUGCAACAGAAAGAACUUAGGGUAUUUGAAAUUUCUGGAUUGGUGCUGCUCAAUGAGAAUAUACAGAAAAUCAAUCCAAAUGAACCACUAAAAGAAGAAUGCACUACUCUAGGUGAAGUAUCAUGGUUAGAGAAUCACAGAAACGCGUCUGCAAUAAAACGCUCAGAUUCUCCAAUAGAAAGUGACAGAACCAUGAAGCUGCCAGUAGAGGUGCCUGAGGGAGCUGAGGAACCUGCAGAAGAGUAUGAAAACAACAAAGAACUGAUCAUAGAGAAAGAGAGAGACAUCAAGGAAUUUCCAGCCGUGUCCAUUGAAGUUGAAUAGGUUAAAUAGGAACGGCAUUCUGAGACAAUACUCGCUGAAAAUCCUAGAAUGACAGAUUCUGAAGUGCAGACUAAAAAUGUGAACCUAUAGGAUUGUGGAAGACUUCAGCAAAGACUCUAAAAGAUUUCCCAUCACAAAAGCAAUGGAAGCAGAGAUGCUACAGAAACAGAGUGGUAAAAGGAAAGUGGAUGUCUCUGGUUCGGUAUCUGAAAUAUCAAAAGAAAUUAAUAAGGAGGUCAUAGAAGAUGCCAGCACUUGCUCUAACAAUAUUGAUGCUGCAUCCGAAGAGGGGAAAACAGAAGAGUCAAGCUUGUAGGAAACUCAACUGAAUGACAAAUACAAAAAGAUCAUUAAGACUAGCUCAGAAGAUAAGACACUAUAAGCAAAUACCACAAAUGAAACUAGUCCACAGGCUGAAGAGGUUGACAGCAUGAAGCUUGAAGAAACUUUUGAAUUGAUGUCUCAACUUCCAGUUAAGGCAUGUGAGAACACAAACAAGGAGAGUGAAACAGUGGAAAGGUCGAUUGAUAAUGUGCUGAAGAAACCGAUUAAAUCUUCUGGUAUAGUAUCAGAAUCCCAAGAACAAUGUGCUGAAGAAACUGAUUAGACCCUUAAGCUCUUCUCUAGCAGGGUCUUUGAUAUCAAAUGCCUGUCAGAACCCCCAUUCAGUAAACUGCUUCAAUUUGAGCUCAGGAAUCCAAGGAAGACACGGAUAAGGGAAAGUUGAUUACGCCAGAAUCUGUAUUUCUCAAGAGCAACUCAAGUUUACUGGAACUCUUCACCCUUCAUUGGAAUUCAAUAAAACUUUGAACAACAGAGAGCCACAGAAAAGUACUAAAGGAGGGCAGAAUGUAUUUUGGGAUUCAACAUCAGCAGGAUAGUCUCAAAUCUUAUUCCCAGGCUCCACUCCAUCAUGGCAACCUUGCUAUACACACCCUCUCCUCUAUUUACUUUUGUGAUUGGGAACUUACUAUUUUAAGUUGAAUUUUUGAACCAUUGUUCAACUAAACAUUCCCAGCUUUGAAAAAUCCAUCUUAGGAGCAUCUAGGUAUAAAAUCCCAAUUUUAACAUGCUAUUUGCUGCCAUUUUCCUCCGGGCAUGCACUUUCACUAUUUUAUCCGAUUUUUAACUAUUUUCAUGAUUUUCUCGAUUUUCUCAAGCAUGAACAAACUUCAUGAUUCCAAACAAUGGAAUUAAUAGAAUAAAUUCAUGCAAAAGUAAUCAGGGCAUUGGGGGGAGGCCCGACAUUCAUAAUAUUCUCUUCAAUAGUGUCUUGUUUGAUAUUUGAUUGAUUGUGCUUCCUCUUUGUGGUAUAUAUGAGAUUAUUUUGAAUUAGUUGUUGAGUUAAUUUUGUUUCCCAUAGAGGAUUAUUAACUCGCUAAUCAGGUACGCUCUUUCUACCACCACACUUUCCAAAAUUUCAUGAAUAUGAGACAUAACCAUAUUUGAUGCCAUAAUUGAUUGCUUUGAUGCUUGUUGGAUCGUCUUUGAUGAAAAUACAUAUUAUGUGUCAUAUUUCCAAACUAAUCUCUCAUGUUUUGUGAUAGUGUUUGAGAAGCCGUUCAGGUACGCACUUCGACUCUCUCUUAUGGUUGGUUUUCUUAUUAGGCAUGCAAUAUUUGAAAUCACCUAGCCUACUCAGGUAUCCAUAAUUAACUGAUUAAUGGCCACGCUUCCCUUAACUUAGUCAGUAGAGACCUCUUUAGGGCUUAGAGGGGUGCUACCUCCUAGAGGUACCUUCCCAAUAAGUAACCUGAUCCCCGAACCAAGACUUGGGUUUUCAAAGACACGCUUUUCCAAAAAUUAUGGAGUCAUUUUUUUAGGGUUUUAUUUCUUGUUUUAUUUUCCCUUCAAAAAUAAAAAUAAAAUAAGUGGCGACUCCAACUUUUUCAAAAAUCAAUUUUUCACAAUAAAAAGCGAGUCUCGUCGAUCGAGUGGGGACGCACGUGAAAAAUGCGGGUCCACAGUCAUGGCCAUUUGAUGCAUGGGGACUUGACGUGGUCAGACCCAUUACUCUUAAAUCCUUUGUUGGACAUGCUUACAUAUUGCAGCAACAUAUUAUUUUUCUAAAUGGGCAAAAGUUGUUCCACUUAAAGAAGUGAAUAAAGAAAAUGUAGUGAACUUCAUUCGAAGUAAUAUUAUCUAUCGGUAUAGGGUACCAUGAUAUAUAAUCACUGACAAUGGGAAACCCUUCUAUAGCAAAUUGAUGAUCAAUCUUUGUGAGAGGUUUAGUUUCAAACAACACAAUUCAUCAAUGUACAAUGCACCGACCAAUGGUCUCACAGAAGCAUUCAACAAGACUCUUUGCAACUUAUUGAAGAAAAUUGUUGAUAAUUCAAAGAGGGAUUGACAUGAAUGAGUAGGAGAAGCACUUUAGGCAUAUCAAACAACAUAUCGAACGCCUACACAAGCAACCCUUUAUUCCCUUGUUUAUGGUGUAGAAGUUGUAUUGCCCCUUGAGCGUCAGAUCCUUUCAUUAAGGAUUUCUAUACAUGAAGGACUAACUAAUGAAGAUAAUGCCAAGUUACAUCUUCAAGAGUUAGAAGCACUAGACGAAAAGUGACUCGAAGCCCAACAACACUUAGAGUAUUAUCAAGCACACCUUUCAAAAGCUUUAAAAAAAAAAGGUUUGUCUUCGGUCUUUUCAAGUCGGUGAUCUAGUUCUUGCCAUUCGUAGACCCAUUAUCACCACACAUAAGACUAGGAGUAAAUUUACAUCAAAAUGGGAUGGACCUUAUGUGGUGCAAGAAGUCUACACCAAUGGUGCUUAUAAGAUCGUCACUGAAGACGGAUUAAGAAUUGGCCCUAUCAAUGGAAAAUUCUUAAAGCGUUAUUAUGCUUGAGUCACACUACACCCUUAGCUUGCAUGAGCAUAAAUUAUGUCUGGAGCACCAAAAAAAAAAUAAAAAAAUCCGCUAAGUCGAAAACCUAAAAGGACGCCUUAGGUAAAAAUUAGGACAUAUGCUCACAAGAUUAAAAUUUUCUUUUAGCCUUGGCAAAAGUUAGAGCAUGAAAAAAAAAGGUGCUGCAUUUGACUUGAUCCUCUCUCUUUGAAAGGUAUGUAAGCAACUUGGGGAAACCACCUAAGUUCACUCACUACCAAAAAAAAAAAAAAAGGUCUCAUUUUUAUUAAUAAAUAAAUCUGACUAACAAAUGCUAGACUUUAUUACAUCUUAAUAAAAAAAAAUGAAUGAAAGCAAAAAAAAAAAGGGAGCCAAAACUAAGUAAAAAGGUACAAUGAUCACAUCCACACCAAGCAUGCAAGCUCGUCACGUUGAGUCCUUAAGGCUUCUUGAAGUGUCUCUAAAGUUUUGACAUCAACAUCAGUAAGCACAAGGGUUUGGGCGAUAAUGACAUGUUAUUUCCUCAAACGAGAAACAUCAUUAUGUUUAUUGGCUAUAAUCUCAUCAAUCUCCAAGAUUAAGUUAUGAAUGUGCUCUUUUUGUUUACCUAGUUGCUUAAAUUCCUUCUUAAGUGCUUCCUAUUUAGCAUCGAGAGUAGCUAAGUCUACCUUUAAUGAUUGACGAUGGUUUUCCUAUAUACACUUAGAGUUUAAAGCAUCCACAAUCUGAGAUGCAAUAAUAGCUAAACGUUCGCUUUGUACUUCUAGAGAUAUAUUUAUAGAAUGGGUGCGUCACAUUGCAUUGAGGUGAUCUACACUUUCCAUGUACUUCUCAAUCUGAGACUUUAAUGGUGAAGGGUUCACUCCAAUCUUUGUGAUAACAUUGAAAAGCUCAUCAAUUUUUCCUCUUAAUAAUGGGAGACAUUUAUUUGGAAAUUUUAAUAAUCAUCACCUUAGUGCCUUCUCCUAUCAUAAGUGCUUCUUGGCGUUAGGCAUUAAGGAUGAUUUGUUUGACGUCGAAUGUGUGAAUGGAAGUAGAAGGAGCAACCACGGUAGGACAUGUAGAUUGUUGUUCAGUAAUUAAACCUAUAAAUGCUAAAAUUGUUAAUUCAUCAUAUGUUGUAUCUCUAAUUGUGGUCUUUUGACCUCGAGAUUCAAUCAGAACAUCACUUAAGAUGUUAGUAAUACCUUUAUCACCCAAAUAAGAAUGAGACAAAGGUAAUGGGAUGAUAGAGUGAUUAUCUUGUUGUAUGGUCAAGGUAAAGGGUGCUGACUCCCUAAUAGCAAUAGUACUUUCGAACUGAUCCUUAGGAGAGGACUCAUCCCCUUCAUUGACAAAUUGGUUGUCACCCGCCACCUAAGGCAAAUAAUUAUUUUUGUUAGUAUCAAUGCAAAAAAAAAAAAAAAAAAACCUUUUCACCAUCAAGUUCCAUCGCUUGAGUAGAAGUUAGGACGUCAGCAAAGAAGACAUUUACAUCAAGAUGAUAAGAGUUAGUCUCAUCAUAGUACAUAGGGUUGGGUCUAAUUUUUUUCCAUUUGAAGUAACAUUCACUUGUAUCUUCAAAGUUUUUGUUUGAUACAUAAAGACCCUGUGCAUUGUUAUGUUGCUUAAAAGUCUUGUGACAGUGAGUAUUACCACCGUUGAAAAUAGUUUCCUCAUGCUCUGAGUGUGUGGAGGUAUUAGUUUGAUGUCCACCCAUUGAGCGCUUAGAAGAAGCUCUUGAAUCAUCAGGUAAAUCAUCAAAAUCCUUCUCAACAUUGUCUCUAAUAUUCCCCUUAGUAGAAACACUUAAGUCAACCUUGCGCGUUCUACUCUCUAAAGAUCUAGAGGGUAUUUGCCAAGAAGAAUUAGGAGGGGGCUCCAUACAAGUAGUAGUAAGAAUUUCUUUAUCAGGAUUACGUACUCUGAUCCACCAAUCCGCAUAAGCCAAUCUGGUAUAGUAACUUUGGAGUAGGUACCAAGCCUAGUACAUGACUGCCAAUGUUGAUACACCGCCUUUAAAGUUCUAGUGUGAAAAAUCUCUAGCGAACUCUCCGGAAGGUCUUGAAGAUAUACAAACUGCCUAGAAAACCGAUGAGGAUAAUACAGUUGGAUUACCCAAUGAUUACCUUGUCGCAAAGAUAAAUAGUUAGAGUGAAGACUUAUGAGAUAAGAAGCUUUGGUAACACUAAUAGAUUCAUUAUCAGUCCAGUGCACAUGCCUCUUGUGGCGCAAUGCCAAGUGGUCUAGCUUUACGCCUUUGCAAGACAUUAUCAAAGCCUAAGCUUGCAAAUCAUCAAAACACUUAACAAAAAACUCGCCAGUGUAAUAAGUCAUCCGUGGGGGAUGGCUCCAAGAAGGAGAAAUGAAAUGGGUAUCGAAAUAUUCAUUUAACCAUCCGUAUAAGUAAUGAAUAGGGAAAAUAGAUGCAUUAGUCCCAGGCUUUGAAGAAUAAGUGAUUUUAUUUAAGCUGUUGUAAAUACUUCCUAACACCAAAACAACAAGGCUAAAUGUCUCACCUUGAGCCAUUUUACUAGCUACCUUGAAGACUUUAGGAUGAAUCAAAUUGACACCUCCCAAGGAAGAACGAACUUGUAUAACCAACAUGCUAAGAAAGCGCCUAAGUAUCCUUCACAUCUGCCUCAGCUAUGCCAAGGUUGUAAAAAAUUUCCAUCUCUGACUGAAUACGAGAUUUAAUAGGAUCAAUUUCCCCAGAGGGGUUAUGAGUCUCCUUAGGCCUUUACGCCUUAUUCCUUGUACUUUUAUUUGGAAGUUUUGCAUACUUCAUGGAGCCUUUAUACCAAAAUGACACCCAAGAGGCUAACUUGACUGAAGACUUCCCUUUCGUGUUAGAGCAAAUUCGAUGAUAUGCAAGGAAUAAGUUUUGACAACUUGGUGGGAGUGAGGGCUUUGUCACAUCAUUAGAUAACUCUUCCAUGCUCGGUACCAUCUCAUCAUAAAAAGAUCCAAUGAUGGGUAGUCCAACAAUAUGAUACAAGUCCCAAAGAGAGAUGGAAACCUCUCUAAUGGAAGUAUGCAAGGUGUUAGUGGUAGGACACCAACGUUCACAAAAGGCCCUAAUCACAGAGGCAUGACAAUCAUAGCUGAAUAAGGACGCAAAAAUAGCUUCAUAAAGCUUACAUCCUUUAAGAAAUGGUCCAUGCCGGUCCAAUACCUCCUCUACCCAUUCCCAAUAUCCUUCGAUAAAGAAAUAUUCCCUUAGUACUUUGAAUGAACUUCCCCAUUUAGCUUCUCCGUCAUGAACACAAGAACCAAACUAUCCAAAUUCAUCAUGAACUUUAGUAGUAGUUGGGUGAGAGGAAUUCAACAACAGAACAUCAGAAACAAGUUUCACCUUAUUGAGUUUUGAAUUGCCGAUAUUUGUAAGCUUGCAAGAUGCAACUCGGGACAAGGAAGAAAUGUGUAAUGGGUCCUUUGUCACUGGUACUGACAAAGAUUGAAGGUCAGUAAGUGACUUAUGCACUGACAAGGUAGUCCCCUCCUCAAAAUCUUCACUAUCAUCCUCAAGAAUAGUUACAAUCUUCUAUUUGAAACAUUUGAAGAACGCCAUCCUACAUAAAAAGGAAAAAGAAGGUAGAGAGAGAGAUAAAUAAAACAUGGGUAUAAGUUUUUAGAUACCACUAUGCAUUUAAGUCAGAUCAAUUCACAUGAGUGAAGACCUUAGCACUUAAGUCAUAUAAAGUGUUGAAAGUACAAUACCGCAUAGCAUCAGGGCCAUAACUUGUUUGCAUAGAUACCGAGUAUUAUUCUAGUUUUAAUUAAAUGUUAAAACUUGAACACAACUAUGCAUUCAAGUCAAGACAAUUUGCAUAGGUGAAGACUUUAGCACAUAAGUGUUGAAAAUACAACACCGCAUAACAUUAGGGCCAUAACUUGUCUACAUAGAUAACAAGUAUUAUUAUGGUUUUAAUUAAAUAUUAAAACUUGAACACCACUAUGCAUUCAAGUCAAUCCAAUUUGCAUGGGUGAAGACUUUAGCACAUAAGUGCUAAAAAUACGACACCGCUUCGCGUCAAGGCUACGAAUUGAUUACAUGAGGGUCAAACUUUAAAUAUUCAUAUGUUUUUUUAUUUUUUAUUUUUAUUUAUUUUUUAUUUUUUAUUUUAUGGAUAUUUAAGUUUAUUAAAAAUUUCCCUCAAGUACUAAGGUAAUUUAAAAAUAAAUAAAUAAAUAAAAUUAAAUUACCUGAAAUCAAAUUCGUCUCUACGAAUAAUGGAGGCUAACAUGUGUUCGAAAAAGGUGAAUCUUUUUCUUCCUUGACAAAAAAAAAAUGAAUAAAAAGAUCACGUGUCAACAUAUAUAUAUAUAUAUCCAUCCAUUUUUUCAGGAGAUCACGUGAAUGGAUUUUAUAUAUAUAUACAUAUAUUAAAUCCUCAUCCUUACAUCAAUAUAUAGAUAUAUAGCCUAGUGAUGACGUCUCCCAAGGCAACCAACAUUGAGGCUCUGUCCCCAUUGACUUCGACAUACACCCACCAAGCUCCAAAAUAUAUAUAUGCAUUUAAAAAAAAAAUACUUACAGGUUUGAAGAGGUGAAGACUUCUUACGGUAAUUCAAGUCAAGUUUCUUAAAAUUGGGUUGAAAAUCACCCAAAAAUUCAAAAAAAAUAAAAGAAUAUGAAAGGAUUCAAGUCGGGUUUCUCAAGUUGGGUCAAAGAACACUCAAAGAUCAAAAAAGCUCUUUGAAAAAGUUCAAGUCAAAUUUCUUAGCUAUUGUCCCUUUUAUAUAUAAAAAAAACGUAUAUGGGGAUGACAAAUUGGAAGAUGAUUGAAAGUGUAAAGUAAGAAGGAAAACAAAUUGGAAGAGGAUUCAAAGUGUAAAGCAAAAAAGGAAAACAAAGUGGAGUUUGGAAAAAAGUGGGAAAGAAAUAUUUUUUUUGGAAAAAAAAAAAACUUCAAGACUCACCCCAUCCACAUGACAAUGCAUAUAUGUGAUGCGUCUUGAAGUGGGGGUAUUUGUAGACAUAAAAAAAAUUAGUGGAUUAAAUUACCACUAAUUUUGUUUUCAAAAUGAAUAAAAAAAAUCCUCUUAUGGAUAAGUUUCUCUAAUCUCCAACUAUAGAAAGGAUAAUAAUAACAAUAAAAAAACUAUUAUUAUUAUUAUUAUUAUUAUUAUUAUUAUUAUUAUUAUCUUGUUGGUAAAACCUUCCAGGAUUUUUUUUUUCUAAAAUCAAGGAACUAAAUCCUUUAAAUUAAGCAACUAAACUCUGAGAAUUUGAAAUUCAAAUUUUAUAUCUUCACCUAUAAAUAGAGGUGUCUUUUUUCAAGAAAGGAGGGGAAGAAAUCGAGAAAAAAAAAUCCAGAAAGGAAAAUCUUAAGGAGGAAAUCCAAAGGAAACUUUGUAUGGGAAAAGGGGCUUCACAACAAAAGAAAAAGCUUCAUCAAAUUUCUCUGCAAGUUCGGUACAUGGUAGAACUGCUAAACACGCUCACCGCUAUUUAACGAGUUCAUUAAGGAAUAAGCCACUUGUGGCCCUCAAUUGAUCUUCGAAAUUAAGAAAAUGUCAUCGUUGUUUUCCAAAGUGUGAUCAAGAUGAAAGAAUCAGAGGGAUAAUAUUUUUUUGGAAAUAAUAUUAUUUUUGAGAUUGUACCCACAAUAUUUUUAAUUUUAAUAAAUAUUUUGUUUGCAUUAUUUUCCUAUUUGUUUUGCUAAUUUUGUAGGACCAUUUACGAAAUUUAUGUGUACAUACUCUUUUAUGAACAAGGUAGUGUAGAAAAAGUGUAACACUUUUUUUUUUAACUCAGGUAACUCAAGUAAUAUAUCAUUUCUACCAUAGUGAAUCCAUUCUUCUUCUUUAGCGUAUAAAAAGUGACUCCGUUCUUCUUUAGCACAUUAACUUGAAUACGCAACUCAAGUAAUAUAUCAUUUCUACCAUAGUACUUUUAGCAUUUUAGUGGUAUUUUUUUUCUCAUAAAAAUGUGUACCCUUUGAAUAAGCAACCUUUGAGGUGCACAACUUAAUGUUUUAAGAGGGUGCACUAUUUUUUCCUAGCGCAUUUGAAAUGUGUACAACUUCACUAUGCAAAAAAACAUUAUUUUUUAAUAAAAUUAAGAUCAAAUUAAUAUAAAUGAUUAAAUACAAUUUUUAUGAAAAAAAUAUAUUUUAUUUUUUAUUUAUAUAAAUAAAAAUAAAAAAUUUAAUAAAACAAAAUAUUAGAGCCACAACCAAUUUUCUAUCUUAUAUAAUUAAAAAUAUUAAACAUUUUAACCAAGAAGAAAAUUAAAAUUGUGAUCAAGUUACAUCCAUAAGCAAAAAGUUAAAAUAGUGAUUAUCGACUCUAACUUUCACAUAAAAAUUUAACAAUUUUUUAAAAAUAUAAACAAUAAAAUAAUAUGACAAUGUAAUAGGAUUAUAAAAUAAAUAGAUAUUUUAUUUAGGAGGAAUAUAGAAAAUCUUAUGUCCUAAGCUUCUAAAUUUGUUCAUAAUGAAUUUAUUUUUAUAUUAAAUUUGUUUUCAUUAAUUAUUUCUUAUAUAUUUUUAUUUUGUGUCUAGAAUAUCCAUAAAUAAUUGAAAUCGGUAAAUGUAAAAGAAGAAAUAAUGAAAAAAUAAAAUUAAAAAGAUUUCAUGAAGUCAACACAUUAGAAAAUAAGAACAGAAAGGUAGAGAUAUUACGAAGGAGAGGAAAAAGAAAAAAGAAAAAUCAUAUGACAUGGUUGUCAUAUUAAAGUAAAAAGAAAAAAAAAUAAAAUUUUGUAGUAAUUAACUGUGAAAGGAGAUCGAGGGUUACAGGGUAAUUUUAAAAUUUUGAUGAUUUCACUAUUGAAAUACAUGUUUCUAGAAUUAAUUUUUCCAAGAUGUAUGUACUUUAAAAUUUAAAAUUUAAAACUUUAAAUUUUUUAUAUUUUUUAGUUGUUGCAUGAAUAUUACAUCAUUCUCCAUGAAUAGAAUGUGAUAGGGCAUGGUUUUUAAAUCACUUUUAUAAUAAUUUUUUUAUAAUUAACAAGUUUGGCAAAAGAUAUUCUUAAAUGAUUUAAUUUAUAUUCAAUGCUAGUAGUCAUUUUAAUUGGAUAAACUUUUCAAAAGCAAAUUUGAAGAAUUUGGGUCAAAUGUAAUGUGCAUUUUUGUAGGGCCCUCCCAAUGGACCUCGUAAUGCCAAAACUUCUGGCCUUCAUGUUUUGUCAACUUGUUCACACAAUAAGCUCACGAGCUUUACCUUGCUUUAUCUUGUGAGACUUUGAUAUAUGCUUUGUUUGUAUUAAAGAGGUAAAAAAGUUCUUAACCACCAUUCCAUUUUGCACUAAAAAAAAAUUGAUAUAGACAUGCCAAUUGACUUUGUGUGUCAAAUAUUGUCAUGAUGCAUAUGAGAAAAUAAUGUGUCAUUUGACUCCUUUGAGUCAAAUCUUGCCUUUAAGUACAGAGAAAUAUUUGAGAAAUCGCAAGCAUUUUUUCUUUGUUGUUCAUUAAUAUAUGGAAUAGGUUGACCUUUGAAUUAGUCAAGGACAUGGUAGGUCUUUUGGUCUUAUUUUUACUCAAAUUUAUUUGACUCAAAACUGAAGUAGCAUUAAAAAUGAUACUUCAUGUGGUUGUAAAUUUACAUUUCCUAAGGGUUUUCUUCCCUAUUUGAACCAAAAAUUGAUUUUUAGGGUUAGAGGAACACCUCCCCUACAACAGUCAGACAAACUCCAUUGAGUUCCUCUUCCAUUCAAAGAGUGGGUGUGUUUGUUUCCCAAGAAAAUCUAACCCAUUUUAAGUUCAAAAUAAAUUUUUAUCAAAUUUUUCUUUAGAGCUUGGGUUGAUUCAUUUGGUUCUUCCAAAGAUGAGAACUUUUAACUCAAUGACCCAAUCAAAUUACAUGCAUAAUAACAUGAAAAUCUAGAAACUUAAGUAUUACCGUUUCUAAAUAUGACAACUUUUAAUUCAACAACCCAAUCAAAUAAUCAUGCAUAAUAACGAGAAAAAUCUAAAAACCUAAGAACUACCGUUUCCGAAGAUAUGGACUUUUAAUCUAAUAAACCCAUCAAAUAACAUGCAUAGUAACAAGAGAAUCUAAAACCCCUAAGAACUAACAUUGCCAAUUUAACCCAAUAACCCAAUCAACUAACAUGCAUAAUAACUAGAGAAUAUAAAAAAACCCUAAGAACUAAUCAUUGAAACAUGAAAAUUUUGAUAGUAUGGGAAUAACCUAUAAACCUUAAAAUUAUCAAACUUUGAAAAGUAAGAUUUUUAAUAAAAUAGCAUUCUAACACCAUGAAUGAUAACUAGAAAAUUUAAAACCGAACCAAAAUUUUCAAGAUAAGACUUCUAAGAAAAUAGCAUUUUGAUAACAUGAAUAGUAACUAGAAAAAUUAAAACCUAACCAAAAUGUUCAAGAUGAGACUUUCAAUGAAAUAGAAUUCUAAUAUCAUAAAAUAUGUUCCAAAAAAUUUAAAACCUAACCAAAUUUUUGUAUAACCAACUUUUCAAGAUGGGAAUUUUUAAUAAAGUAACAUUCUAAUAACAUAAGAAGUGUACUUGAAUAUGUCUAAGUAUGUUGUCCUAAAGGAGCACUUAAAAAGAAGCUAUUCUAAAAAGAGAAAAGGAAAAUCCUAGAUCUAACUUGGGGUUUCCAAGGGUCACAAUGAGGGGCUAGAUAAAUCCCUCAACUAGAGUCUUUGAGAUGGCUAAAAAAGGUAAGUUGUGUGAGUUGAAAAUGGGCCACCAGGGAGACUACUGCAAAGUAUGAAAAUAGCACUUAAUAGGGCAUGUGCUAACGUAACAAAUGGAAAGUCUACACUUGCAUGCUAGAUUUAUUCUAAGUUGUGCUCACAUCUAUUUUGCAAGGUUGUUUUAUUCAUCUCAUGGACCCUAAGGAUGAAUGAAUGAAAUGCUUUUAUUAAUUCAAUUGAAUGAAUGAAUAUGAAUGGAUAUGAUCUUUGCCAUUUGAUUCUCUAGUUUGGGUUGUGCACCCCAUGAGGGGUACAAGAUUUUUAUUUUAUUGUAAAAAUAUUUUCUUUUCAAUAGAUGGGUUGUAAGCUCCAUUAUAGGAGCAUAUAAUUUUAUUUUUUAUUUUUUUGAUUGUAAAUUUUUUUUUUUAUCCAUUUAUGGUGACCCAAAAGGAAAGGAAAAAUUCUUAAAUUUUCAUUUUUGAGAUCCUAUGGUGACUUAAGAAAAAAGAAAGAUUCUUGAAAGUUCUUGAUUUGAGAUCCUAAUUUGACUCAAAAUUGGGACAAAUCAUAUAUGGUUUUGAAGCUUAGGAAGUUAGGAAUCCAAUGCUUCAAACAAUUUUCUAUUCGGAGUUGAAAUGAGGAAGAUAUAGUCAAUUGAAGUAAGGUUGUACAAAGAGCAUACUAUUUCAGAAUUAAGUUCGGGCCAAAUUGUUUUUGGUUAUUUGGGCUUCUUUUUUAGCUUUUUUUUUUUUUUUUUUUUUUUUUGUGGAAAUUCGACAUUUUAGGGUUUUGUCAAUUUUUACUAACUAAUCUUUGGUUGUAAGAAUAUUUUGAUAAUUUGAAUUUUGUCCAAUUUUUAAUUACCAAAUAUGCAAUAGGAUCCCUAAAGUUCAUGAGAAAUAUUUAUUUAAUUAUUUCCUUGUUUUUAUUUUAUGUUAUCUUUAUUACUUGCUUAUGUGACCUAAAAUAGGAUAAUUUGGUAUUCUUAAUUAGAUAUAAAUUUUCAUGGGCUUUUUCAAAAUAGGAAAACUUAUUUAAAUUGGAAUGUGUAUUGUUAGGAAAUUUAUUUUAAGAAAAGAUAAGUUAGAAAAGAAUUAAGAGUUUCCAUUCCUUUUAAAAAUUAAUUCUUAAUGAUUUUAAUUUUAUUUAAAAUUUUCUUAGAUCUUUGAGAUCUCUAAGAAUAAAAUCUUUCUUUUAAUGAAAAAACUCUUGUUUUUCCAAAUCUUUAUAAAAUAAUAUUUUUCCUAUUUUGCACAAGGUUUUGAUUUAAAGAAAAUAAGUUGAUUUUGAAAAUUCAUAAUAGAUAAUUUAUAAUUAAGAAGGUUACCAAAAUAAGUAUUCAAACCUAAAGAAAAAUGUUUUGGUAUUCUCUAUAAAUUUUCAUGAAAAGAUUUUUCCAAGAUUAUAUAUUUGAAUUGGUUGUUGCUAAUGAGAAUCUUAUUCAUUUGGAACUAUCAUUUUGAUUUUGGUAUAGAUGCUUCUCCAAGCUACUACACCAUACCUAAGAUGGUCCUUCAGGCUCUCUCCUCCUGAGAUAAGGAGGAAACCCCUAUUUGGAUAUGGAUAGUUCAAAAAUAAAGACUAAGAGAGCAAUUUUGUUUAGCAAACGAGUCUUAGUUUAAAAGAUAAAUAACGGAUUUGAAAAACCUCAUGAUAAGAAGGGUUUUCAAUCUUGUAUGUAGAGGUGUCUAAUGGGUCGUGUUGGGCUGACAUGACCUAAUAUUGAUCGGGCCAUUAGGGGCCAAUGUGUCGGGUUGGGUCGACCCAUGCAAGCCAAAUAGGUGACUCGACACGGCCCAUAAGUCCAUGGGCUAAUCGUGUCAUGCUGGGUCGGGUCGUGCUGUGCCGGUGGGCCAUGGCCCAUGGGCCACUCACUUUGUUAAAAAUUUUAAUUUAAUUUUUUAAGUCAUUUUUUCUUAAGUUUUUUCCUUAUUAAAUAAAUUUUAUUUUUGUUACUUUAAACACCUCUAAUAAUUAUAUUUUUAUUUUAUUUUUUAUAUACUUCUAAUAAUUAUACUUUUUAUUUUUUACAUUUAUAUUUAUUGAGUUUGUAAUUGUAAAAUUUAUAGAAAUAUUAGUUUUUUGUUUUUAAAAAUAGUAAAAAAAAAUUACAUUUGAAUUUGUUUAUUUUAUUUUUAUCAAAAUAACAAUAAAUUUAAAAUAAUGGAAUAUAAAAGGAAAUGAAAUAUAAAAAAAUAAUUCUUUUAUUCAAUAUUUCAACAAAUUACAUGAAAAAAUAAUGAGAAAAAAAAAACAAAAGUGAGAAUUGCAUCACUAUAGUUUGAGUACAUCCCAACUAGGUUGGCACCCACCCAACUAUCAAUCAUAUGCAUUACUUAACCUUUAAAAAUUAACUACAUUUAAUAGAUUUAAAAGAAACGAACAACAUAUAAUUCUUCAAUUAUCAUAUUCACUUUUGUCUUCUUAUUCAAUCUUCAUUCUUAUUUUUUCAUCUUCAAUCAUCAUCAAUCUCUUGAACAUCAUUGUUUGCAUUGAGAUGCAAUUUCUUGAAGGCUUCUUUAAGUUCAUCCUCUAAAGUUUGACAUGAAAAAAGUAAAAAUAGUUAUUGAUUUACUUUUUUUACCCCUCAAACUAGUUGUAAUAUAAUUGUUAAGAGGGGUAUUAUAGACAUUUGACAUGUAAUAAAAAGUAAACACUAAAAGGUGAAAUUUAAAAGGGCCAAGUGGGUCGACACGGUGGGCCGACGGGUUGUUUCUUUAGGCCUAGCAUGGCCUGCUCCUUUGGGUCGUGUUGUCUUAGCUUGCUAUAGUGUUAGGCCAUACUGGCCUUGCCUGACCUUUUGGCGUGCCGAGCCACGGGCCAAAAUGGGCAGCCCGACCCAAUGACCCAGAUUUCAUUAUACAUUUGAAUGGUUUGAAUUGGAAGUUUGAUUUAGGACAAAAUCAAUAACCAUUAAAAAAAGAAAGAAUAUUGUAACACCGUUCAUACCUAUUGACUUUCGUUUUUAAUACUAUUGAAAAUUUUCACGAAUGAGAAGGCAACAAAGCAAGAAUUCUUAAGAUUCUAACUAUGCUACAGUCAUGAAAGAAGAAAAAGGGGGGAGAAGUAAUGUUUUUAUACUACAACCCACAAUCAUGAAAUAAGAAAAAAGAAAAUUCCAAAAAAUAUAGACCAAACAACAAGAACUUGCUUAGGCAUCUUCUAUACGUGAUCCUUUCUUGUCACUUGUUUUUUUUCCAUACUGGAAUGUAAAAUCCUACCAUGAGUGUUAAAAUAAGAUUGCCAUACUUAUUAACCAAUUAGUGAGUAAUUCCUACAAGUGAUAGUUUCUUAUAAUACACAUAUUUCUUGUUUACUUGAGCGCUAGUAGUAAUGAUCAUAAUUUUAAUAUAUUGAGAAUGUAAAAUUUUCUAGCAACAAAUAUAUUUAGCCCAUUGUAUUACAAAAAAGUACUAAAUGAAGAAAAAAAAUAGAGAUGGAAAGAAAUCUAAAUUCUCUUUAGUUCAAAGGUAUAAAAUAAAAUCAAAUAUAAUAAAAAAAUUCAAAAUUUUUCAAUCUUUAUGUAGAAUAGAAAAAAGAAGAAGAAAAAGGAUACUCUUGGUGAAACAUGUAAGAAAUGUUAAUUGAAUUUAAAUUUAUUUUUCAUUUUAUUAUUUUUUUAAAAACUUUUUAUUGUUUUAAAUUAAGAAAUAUACUAAAGACAUAGGUUUUAGUGAUUGCCAUAUGUUGGUAAUAAGCAGGGAAUGUCACUAAAAAAUACAAUAUAUUUUAAUUAAAUGUUACCAAGUAUUGUAUAAUGAAUGAGAGAUGAAUGUUCAAAGAACUCAACCCCUUUUUCUUUUUAGAAAAUCCAUUAGAAAAUUUUUCUUGAAGACUUGAAUAAGAUUUCCUUGGAAAGCAAACAACCUCCAAAAGAGGAAGGGAAUGAAGAGCUCACUCACCGAUUGUUGCUCUCUACAAGCUCUCUCCUCCUGAGAUAAGGAAGAAACCCCUAUUUGGAUAUGGAUAGUUCAAAGAUAAGGACUAAUUAGAAAACAAUUUUUUUAACACACGAGUCUUAGUUUAAAAAAUAAAUAACGGAUUUGAAAAAUCUCAUGAUAAGAAGGGUUUUCAAUCUUGUAUAUUUAUAUUGUCAUUCAAUGACUUAAAUUUCAUUAUACAUUUGAAUGGUCUGAAUUGAAAGUUUGAUGUAGGACAAAAUCAAUACCCAUUAAAAAAGGAAAGAAUAUCGUAACACCAUUCAUACCUAUUGACUCUCCUUUUUAAUACUAUUGAAAAUUUUCACAAAUGAGAAAGCAACAAAGCAAGGAUUCCUAAGAUUCUAACUAUGCUACAAUCAUGAAAGAAGAACAAAGAAAAUUCCAAAAAUAUAGACCAAACAACAAGAACUUGCUUGGGCAUCUUCAGUAAGUGAUCAUUUCUUGUCACUUGUUUUUUUCCAUAUUGGAAUGUAAAAUCCUACCAUGAGUGUUAAGAUAAGAUUGCCAUAAAAGAAAUUAUCAAAUAUGACAAUAUUUUUUCUAAUUUUCAAAGAAUUAUCAAAUAUGACACUAAAUUUUCAAAAUAACACUAAAUUUCUUUCUAUUUUGGAUUUAAAAGUGAGUAGUAAAACUAAAAUUAUCAAAUAUGACAAUAUUUUUUCUAUUUUUCAAAGAAUUUCGAAAGCAUUAUAUUUAAUUAAAAACACUUGGCUGAUAAAUAAAUAAACUGAAAACAUGGGAAUUCUGGAGAGCUACGAAACGGAGAUAAGAAUAUAAUUAAGGAAAAUGAAAGUGAAAGCCAAGGAAUGAGCAUCAUCACCUCCUAGAAGUAUCUAACCCACCUCGCUGAAGUUUGCUAUAAAUACCUAACAAUUUCCCUUGAGUUCAUCAAUGCUUGAGUUUGAAUCUUAUCAAUCACAGUAGUAGCAAUGGCAGACGAGAUUAUCUUGUUGGAUUUCUGGCCUAGCCCGUUUGGUAUGAGGGUCAGAGUUGCCCUGGCAGAGAAGGGUCUCAAGUAUGAAUAUAGAGAGGAGGACCCGAGGAACAAGAACCCUCUGCUUCUUGAGAUGAACCCCGUUCAUAAGAAAAUCCCAGUUCUGAUCCACAAUGGAAAGCCCAUUUGUGAGUCUAUGAUAAUAGUUCAGUAUAUUGAUGAGGUUUGGAACAAAAAAUCUCCGUUGUUGCCUAGUGACCCAUACCAGAGAGCUCAGGCCAGGUUCUGGGCGGACUACAUAGACAAGAAGGUAUGCCUUUUCUGUUGAUUUAAAGCAUUCUUUUCCAUUGAUUCAUGGCGAUUGACUCACAUUUUGAUUAUGGUGAGGGAUUUAUCCAAAAUGCUAGUUCUUCACAUAUUCUCUUCUGAUAUUGAGUUUUGUUGGCUUUGGUGUCCCAAACUAGAACUUUACUGAUUCUCUUGCUGUUUCUUCAACAAGACUCCCCUCUGCAUUUCUGAUAUGGGUUUUUAUUUCUUUGUUCUGUUGAAUCCGACGUCUGUUCGUUCCAUCCAAAAAAGCAGAUCUCAAGAAUACCUUUUCCCCCAAGAAAGGGAAUACAUAAACCAGAAUUUUAAAGAACAGAUUUUGGUUUUUCGUUAUCCUGCUGUUCAACAUUUUGCACAACAGUUGUUUUAAUAUAUGUUCUGUCUUUUUGAUCUCUUUCUUCUCAUUUCUUUAACACAAAUUGAGGGGAAAAACUUUAGCAAAUGAUACAUUCUUUCAACUGAUUCUGAUAUUUUUCCUAGGAUACGAGAUUUCUAUGCCGAAGGGUCGUUAAUAAACUUGCCCAACUAUACAGAAAGUUUGAAACUUGAUGAAAUGCUUCCAAAAGAAAAAAAAAAAACCCUUUUCUCUCUUUGACUCCAUUACUUUCCACAGCUCUAUGAACUUGGAAGGAGGAUAUGGUCAACCAAAGGAGAAGAGCAGGAAACAGCCAAGAAUGAAUUCAUAGAGUACCUUAAGAUUUUGGAAGGAGAGCUUGGAGAGAAGCCUUACUUCGGUGGUGAGAAAUUUGGGUUUGUGGAUGUGGCUCUGGUGACUUUCUCAACCUUGUUUUAUGCGUAUGAGAGCUUUGGUAACUUCAGCAUAGAGGUGGAGUGCCCCAAGUUGAUCGCUUGGACCAAGAGGUGCAUGGAAAAGGAGAGUGUGUCGU